rnacentral:lncRNA from 1 species
AUGGAGGCGAUGGGGUUGGCGGGGCCCGAAUCGAGGCCGCCCUCGAAGUCGAAGCUUAGAACUCCCUCUGAGUCCUCCAUGGUAUGGUAUGGUAUGGUAUGGCACUGCUGGUGUCUAAUUAGGGCUUUAUUUUAUUUAUAAUCAAGGCCGUGUUGAGCAGAAACUGAAAUUGGAUGCCGGUUUCGUUUUUUCCUUCUUUUAUAAAUUACUCUACCUAGUUUUAGCAUAUAGUUUUUAGACUAGCCCGGUCGCCGGCCUCAUUCAAGGUCCUAAUUUUGAGUUUUAACCAUAUUUCUAGAUUACCUGAAUUAAUUUUAUUUUUUAAAUUAAAAUAAUAUUAUUUUAGUAUAAAAAAACACAAAAAUUAAUGGGAUAUAAUCAGAUUUUUGAUUGGAUUUUGUCGGGUUAACUGGGUCACCGGGUCAACCUGCUGGAUCAGCCGGGUUACACCGGGUUUUUUUAUUAUUAUUAUUUUUUAACCCGUCCCGGUUUCAAACCCGGAUUAACCGGAUCCUAGAUCAACCUGUCGGGUCGGACGAGGUUACGAAACUAUGAUUUUACCUUUGUUUAUAGUAUAAAAUUACUCUACGUAGUUUUACCUUACUUAAUUUAAUAUUAUUUUGUUCUAAAAAGUAUUUUCUCUCUUCAAUUUUUCAUAUUACUUAUUUUUUUAUUUUUUAAAGAAAAAAACAAAAAAAAAUUAAAAAUAAAGUGGAUAAAAGAAACUAAUUAAUUAGUUUUAAAAUUAAAGGGAUUGUAUUAAUUGAUUUUGCAAAACAAAAUAAAGUAAAUACACGAUGUAGCAAAUUUUCCACUAAACCAAGGGAGCAUUCAAAUAUUUAUGCUACAAUAAUUCAUGAAGAUAAUCCUAGUAGAUUAAUUGGUCCUCCAUCUUGCAUAUGAAAAUAAUGCUUUUAUUUCCAUGUUUUCAAGUGACUUUAUCCCAUUUCAGGUUUCUCUUGAAAUAUAAUGGUAAGGAAGUUAUCAUGGUGAGGUUGAAAGUCAAGAAUCUCUUGGUUUUGCUUAAGUUGAUUUGGAUCUUGAAGAUUUUUACAGGUUUAUUGGAUAUUUUGUUUUUGUAUUUCUUAUUAGCUUUGAAAAUCUUCUUGAUUUGAAACACUUUAUUCCUCUUCAUUUUCAAAACUAGUUUUCUUGAUUUAAUGGGUUGUUGACUAAAUAUAUUUGAUUUGUAAUUUUAUAGAAUAUUAAUUGAGAUGUGUAUAACCUUUUGGUGAUCUUGUUGUUAGUGUAUGUGUCAUGUAGUCAAAUAGUUGGUUACACUUGACACUAACUUUGUUUAUGUAAAAAAAAAUAUUUUUAAUAUAUAUAUUUUUUUAUUAUUAUUCAUUUAUGUUUGAUUAAUAAGUUUAGAGUAAAGAUUCAAUUAUUGAGACAAAAAUUAUUUGCAAAGAAAAUUAUAAAAUGGUUAUAAAUAUAACAAUUCAUAUUGUAUCAAAAUAUUGUUUAUAAAUAUCCAUGGUCAAUACUCUAUUAAGAUUUGAUAUUAAUUAGAGUUGUUGAGAUCGGUAUAUAUUAUGUUCUUUUUCUUAUAAAAAAAAAUAGUUAUUCUCAUAAGGUAAGGUAUUAAGGAUACCUAAAAUUAUUAUGUAGGUGUUUGUUAAAUAAUAUAUACAUUGAAUUGACCUACUUGAGAAAUUCAUAUGGAAAGAUCACUUGUGUAUAUUGAAACUCACUUGACGGUUGUGUAAGUGAUUCAUAGACUUGAACUUACUAAGUUAUCUUAUAUGAAGAACGUUAUGUUUUGAUCCUAACUACACAUUAACUUAAUUAAUAGUAAAAAAAAUAGUAGAUAUUAAGCAUAACAUUGAUUAUUUGAAAGUAUUUGAGUAAUUAAUAGAUAAUACAUUGCCCUAAUGAUGUUGAUUAGUUUAUAGUGCAACCUUCAACACCAAAGGACCCAUUAGAAGUACUAAUUAGACCAAUUACACGAUUAAAGAGGGAAAAGCUCAAUUAUGUAUACAAUAGGUUUAUUUAGAGUAUUUGAGCUAGAGUGAAUGUUAAAGAGACUACAACAAGUGAUGACACACUUUAAUCAAUUUAAUUUAUAUGUAAGAGGGGGUUAAUUCAUCUACAACACGGGCCUAAUUACUUCACAAUGGUGGGUUGUCCAAAUAGAGCAUGGACAACCUUGAUUAAUUAAUAUGUUUUAUUGAUUUCAUAUCAGUUAGGAGUCUUUGUUAUAUGUGGAAACAUUUAAGGCAAUAAAAAAAUUCAUAUUAGAUAAGUUUGGCAACUUAACAAUUCUUAGUUGAUAAAGGAAUAGAGUUAAUAAGGAGUCAUAUUCUACAAUGAAACUAAGGGGUGGCAACAAGCUUAGCUGGAAGGUUUUUUCAUUCUACAUGGAAACAAAGGGGCAAAAACAAUUAUCCUUGUUUUCAAAGAUACUAGGCCGGCUAAAAAGCCUUUAUGCAUGGAAACAUUCAGUUUUUUGCUCUUUUAGACUAUUUUAUACAACUUUAGUAUUUUAAGUUUAGAAUUGGGUUUUUUUAUUUUAAUACUUUGGGCUUUAUUUCACAUACUAUAAGUUAUUUUUAAAUUGGGUUUGAUGUCAACCCUUUGGUCCAUUAGGAUUAUAUCUUUUUCAAUACUAUAAGUACUCUUUUGCAAGUUACUAUUCAGAUUGAUAUUGAUUAUUUUUGUCGCAUAUUGUGUGCUUAUGUGUGAGAAAAUUCUUAUAUUUUUUUUUUCAUUGAACUAUCUUAAUUUAUUGAAGAAUAAUUGUUUUUAUAGCGUCUUCUUUAUAUUUCUCAUUUACAAUUCUUUAUAAUAUACGUGUGAGUUUCAUUUUAAUAGUCUUGGUGUCUUGAUUUAAGUAAUUGUUAUAUUGAGCUUUAAUCAACCAAAUAUAAUUUUAACUUUAUUGGGUUUGUUCUUUUUUGCUCGUGGGUUCUAGGGUUCUUACCAUUCAGGUUCACAUCAGUUAGUAUUAAAACAUGACUCUAAAAUCAAGUUAUAUCUUUUUAUCUUUACGUUUCCGUUUUGUUUUUGUGUUCUUUCUUCAAUUAUAAAAUUUAUGACAUAGUUUGAAAAAUAAGUCUUUGAAUUUCAUUACUGUCAAAAGAAAGUUAGUAAUGUGUGCUUGUACGCAUACAUACAUAUAUAUAAAAGAAAAGAAGUAAAUCAUCUACAAAAAUUGAGUCGCAGGCUUGAAAUUACAAAAGAUUGAAUUCAAAAACUCAAAGAUAUCCACUUAAAAUCAUAGUUUUGAAAUCUGGCUCGACCCGACUGGUCGGCCCGGGACUUGGCCACCCUGGGGCUGGAACCGGACCGAGUUGAAAAAUAAACGGGGAAAGAAAAAACUCGGCGUGACCGCAGGCUUGAAAUUACAAAAGAUUGAAUUCAAAAACUCAAAGAUAUCCACUUACAAUCAUAGUUUUGAAAUCCGCCCGACUCGAAUGGUCGACCCGGGAACCGGACAACCCGGGGUUGGAACCGGGCCGAGUUGAAAAAAAACGGGGGAAGAAAAAACUCGGCGUGACCUAGCUGACCCGGCGAGUUGACCCGACUGAUUCGACGAGUUGACCAUGUCAGGACCCGACUGCAAACCCAUUGACUUUUAUUUUUUUUGUUUUUUUAAACGACGUCGUUUUGAUUUUUAAAAAAAAAUUUCACCCGGCCGAUCCAGUGACCUGGUCAAAACCUGAAACCCAAGCCUUGGAUCGGGUCGGGUCUUAAAAAUAUGCUUACAAUUGAUAUUCUUUAGUUUUUUGGUUUCUUAGUUUCAAAUAUUAAUUUCAGGGUUAUUUCGACAUACUUAGGUUUGAGUAAUUCUGAAAUUACAAAAUAAAUCACAUAGGGUCAAUUUGCAUUAAUAUUUUUUUUAUUUUCCUCCAUAAUAUUAGGCCAUAUUAGUAUUUUAAAGAUAUUUUUUUGGUUAAUUGAGUCAUAUUACAUUAGUUUUUUUACUUACACGUUUGUUUUCGCGUCUUCGUAACAUUUUCAUUUUUUAUUUGUAAUCUUUAGCAUUUUUAUAUUUGUAAUGUUAAUCUAUGGGUCACAUAUUACUAUUUAUAAUAUCUUUUAUUUUUAUUAUAACAAUUAAAUAGAAAAUGAACUAAUGAUAUGCUUGGAUGAUAUUAAGUUUAAAUAGGUUCUAUAUGAAGAUUACAUCAACAAGCAUAUGGAAAUGAAUGAAGAAAUCUAUUAAUAAGUCCAAGAUACAAAGAAAGUGAAGACUUAGCUUAUUAAGGAUUCAUUUUAGAGCUUAUUGUUAAAUUUUUAUAUCUUACACAAUAGCAAAUUAAAAUCAACUCACACACUUUGCGUUGCAUACAUAAAUUAGAUUAAUAUACAUUUUAAGUAGUUCAAGUUUUACCAGGUUUGAAACUAUCAAAACUAGUUUUUAAGCUGAACUGAUCGACCGCUUAAGCAUACCAAGUGAACCGAUCAACUGUUAUUCAUCUAUGAUGAACACCUGGAAAUUUUGCAAGAACCAAUCGACUGAAUAAUAUGGUCAUUUGAACUAAUAGACCAUUUUAACUGUCAAAGACAUUCCUACGAUUAGUUUCUUUUAUAUAUAUAUAGCUCUCUUUUAUGCAAAAUAAAGCAGAUUCUGAACAUAAAUGGUAUAAAAGUAUUUCAAAAGAAAAACCUACUAAAAAUCAUCAAUCCUAAUAUACUCUAAGUUGUGUUAAAUUAAAUCUUCAUAUUCUAGCACAAAAGUAUAAAAUGUCACCCUCAUUACACUUACACACCUCCAAUCGUCCUAAGUGUUAUUAAGUAAGCCAUAGAGAUUGUAGUUUUUAAUUGUAUAUUAUACUUCUUGAAAGAGUGCAUCUUGUUGUAAACAAAUCAUAAUUGUAGUCACUUGAGAGUUUAAAUAAACUCUUGGCAAUUGGUGAGGUAUUAUCACCAAAAAAAAAAUCUUGAAAAUAGGACAUCUUCAAGUGAUGAAAUUGAUUGGUGUGGAUUUAUCAAAGGCAUUGUGUCUUACUACUUAAGUACAGUUGGUACUUAAGAUGUGGAUGUAGGCUUGUCGAAUCACAUCAAAAACAGAAUUUGCAAAAAAAAAUUUCCUCAUCUCUUUACUUUAAUUGUAUUGUUGAUUAUCAUGUUAUAUAUGUUUUUGUGUGAUUAUCUACAUUAUUUAGCAUUAUUAGUGAAACACUUAAUUCACCCUUUAAGUAUUAUUAUUUCUUUAAUCAUAUAACAACAAUUGGUAUCAAAUCUUAGUUCUCAUAUAUAUAAGUUUGCUUAAACUUGAGUAAAAUGGCAAUCAUUAACUAUAAUGUUCAAAAUAAAAGAGCAUCUAUUUUUAGGUCAUUUUCUUUGAUGGAAAUGAUUAUGUUUAUUAGAAAGUUAUGAUGGUUAUUUAUCUCCAAUCCAUUGAUUAUGAUUUAUGAUUUUCCAUUGAAAAUGGACCCCAUAAGCCUACUAAGAUUGAAAAUAAUAUAAUAAUUCCUAAACCUAGAAGUGAGUGUACCGAUGAUGAUAAGAAGUUUUUUUUUUUUAUGGAUGUUAAACCUAUGAACACUUUGUAUUGUUCCUUGAAUAGAAAUGAGUUUAAUAGAAUAUCAUCUAGUAAAAUUGUUAAGGAUAUAUGGCAUGCUUUAGAAGUGACUCAUGAAGGUACUAAUCAAGUUAAAAAAAACCAAAAUUGAUAUGCUUGUAUAUUAAUAUAAGUUAUUCAAAAUAAUUCCAAAUGAAUUCAUAACUAGUAUGUUUACUAGAAUGACAACUAUCAAUAACGUUUGGAUGUUCUUAGAAAAGACUUAUACUAAUAUCGAUAUUGUGAGCAAAACUCUCAUGUCAUUGCCAAAGUCUUGAGAAGCAAAGGUAAUGGCAAUCUAGGAAGCUAAGGAUCUCACUAAACUUAUAUUAGAAAAGUCCAUUGGUUCACUAAUGACACGUGAAAUCAAAAUGGAAAAGCAAGAACUAGAAAAGAAGCUAAAAAAGAAUUCGACAUUUAAAACCGUACACUAUAUUGAUAGUGGUGAUGAUGGUGAUGAUGAAGAAGAAAUUAAGGAGGAUAUUACACUUAUAACAACACAAUUCUAAAAAAUUUUAAGAAAACAGUAAGGGGGUAAAAAGUUUUUGAACUUUUAAAAUGAUGGAAAUAAGGAAGAAUCUAGUAACAAGGCACUUAGAUGCUACAAGUGCAACAAGACAGGAUAUAUUAAGGUUAAUUGCCCUCUCCUUCAAAACAAUAAGAAGAUUUGUCAUCACAAGCAAGCAAUGAAAGCAACAUGGAGUGAUGACUCGGACUCUAGCUUAAAUAGUGAUGAACAACAGGUUACAAACAUGUGUUUCAUGGAAAUAAAAAGCGAUAAUGAGGUAUCUUCUUCGGUGAUGAAUCUAACCUCUAUUAUGAUGAACUACAUGAUACAUUUGAAUCAUUGUAUGAUGAGUUUAAAAGGCUAGGUCAUAAAUAUAGUUCGUUGAAAAAAAGUCAUACAUGUUUACCUAUUGAAUAAGAUGUAUUAGAAAAGAAAAUAUGUAUUGUUAUUAAUAGUGACAAGGUUAACCAACUUGAAAAAGGGAAAUAAGGAUUUUUUAAAAAUAAAGUUGAAUACCACACUAGAAAAGUUCACUUAAGGUUCUAAGAUUUUAGAAACCAUGCUUGCUAGUCAAAGAUGUGUCUUCAACAAAAAAGGUCUAGGGUAUCAAUCCAAAAGGAACCAAAAAUAUUUAAAGAACAAUGUUAAAGCCAAACAAUCAUAUGAUCCAAACUAAAUAUGUCAUUAUUAUAGAAGCAUUGGUCAUUUGAUUUACGCAUAUCCUAUAAAGAAGGAAAAAGUUGGUAACAUAACUUAUGUUCCAAAAGGAACCAUCACUGACCAAAAAGGACUUAAGAAUGUAUGGUUACCAAAAACCUCAUCUUGAUUUUGUGUGUAUAGAAAUUAAGGGAAUAUAGGGAAUGGUUCUUGGAUAGUCUUUCUCAUGAUACAUGACCGAAAAUAAUUCAUUAUUUUCAAGUAUAACCAAGAUCUAUGGAGGAAAAGUCAUAUUUAGAGACAACUCAAAAGAAAAGAUCAUUAGAGAUAGUAAUAUUGGAGGUAAAUAUUCUCCCUUAAUAGAAAAUGUGUUUCUUGUAAAUAAUCUAAAACAUAAUUUGCAAAGUAUUAUUCAAUUAUGUGAUAAGGGCUACAAAAUCAUGUUUGAAAUUGCAUGUUGCUUACUCCCUGAAAAUGACAAAGUUUUACUUGUUGGUAAUAGAAAAGAAAAUAUUUAUAAGAUUAAAAUUGAUGCAUGCAUGAGGAUAAAAAGUUACCUUUUUGCUAGCAUUAAUGAUAGUUUUCUUUGGCAUAGAAAAUUAUGUCAUAUAAGCAUGGAUAUUUUUUUAAAACCUAUAUAUAAAGUUUGUUAAAAGACUCCCUCAUGUUGCAUUCAAAAAGGAUAAGUUAUGUGAUGCUUACCGAAUAGGUAAACAAGUGAACACAUCUUUUAAAAGCAAAAAUCACAUUUCUACCAAAAAAAACCUUUAGAUAUGUGUUUGUGAUUGUAGAUGACUUUACAAGAUACACAUGAGUUUUGUUUUUGAAAUCAAAAGAUGAAACUAUUUAUGAAUUUGUAAAGUUUUCAAAGAAAGUUGAAAAUGAAAAAGGUUUUUCCAUUAUAAACAUAAGGAGCAGUCAUGGUGGUAAAUUAAUAUGUGAUUUGUUUGAAAUGUUUUGUGAAGAAAAAAGAUAUCAUUAUAACUUUUCAAUACUUAGAACUCCUUAAUAAAAUGGGGUUGUGGAAAGGAAAAAUUAGUCUCUUCUAGAAAUGGCAAGAACAAUGUUAAAUGAAUUUAAUAGUCCUAAAUGUUUUUGGGCAGAAGUCGUAAACACUUCUUGCUAUGUUCUAAACCUUGUUAUCUUGAAACCAGAGUUCAAAAAGACUCCCUAUGAGCUUUGGAGAGGUAGGAAACCCAAUAUCUUAUAUUUUAAAGUUUUUGGUUCAAAAUGUUUUAUUCUCAACACCAAAGAUAAUUUGGAAAAGUUUGAAUCAAAAUCCAAUGUUGGUAUUUUUUUAGAUAUUCCUCCUCUAACAAAGUUUAUAUAGUUUAUAAUAAUUUAAAACUUUAUCUUGAAGAAUCCAUACAUAUCGUCCUUGAGAAAACUCAAAAAGACAAAAUUAAUGAGAUUCUAUAUGACAUAAAUGAAAGUGUUCAACAUUUGAGUUUUAAUGAUAGGACACCUAUGAAGGACAAUAAUAAAGAUAUGAUCAAGAAUCAACCAAACACAAGUCAUCAACAAGAAAUGGCAAGUAACUCUUUUAUACAACUAAAAGAACUAAGGUAUGUAAGAUCCCAUCCUCCCAAGUUAAUUAUUGGUAAUCCAUUUAAAGGAACUAGGACUAGAGCAUCUCUUAGGAACAUCAAUGAGCAUUAUGCAUUUGUUUCGCAUAUAGAUCCCAAAUCCUUUCUAGAAGCCAAAAAGGGUGCAAAUUGGAUCUUAGCCAUGCAAAAUGAGCAAAACCAUUUUGAAAGAAAUAAUAUUUGGGAACUAGUCCCUAAACCUAAAAACCAAUCCAUUUUAGGAAUAAAAUGGAUUUUUAGGAACAAAAUAGAUAAUCAUGGGACCAUAAUAAUAAUAAUAAUAAUAAAACAAAGUUAGACUAGUCACCAAAGGUUAUAAUUAAGAAGAAGGUAUUGAUUCUGAAGAAAUAUAUGCACUCGUGGUUGGACUAGAAUCCGUUAGAAUGCUUUUCGCCUUUUGCAUAUCAUGUUCACCUUACACUUUUAUAAAUGGAUGUCAAAAGCAUUUUCUUAAAGAGCUUGGUAUGCUAAAUUAAAGUCUUUUCUCAUUUAAAAUGGUUUCAUUAUUGGCAAAAUUGACACCAUCAUCUUCACAAAGAAAAAAUAUAAAGAUAUAUUGAUUGUACAAAUAUAUGUUAAUGAUAUUAUAUUUAGUGCUAUUGAUGAAUCUCUUUGUAAGGAUUUUGCAAAAUGCAUGCAAGAUGAAAUUGAAAUGAGUAUAAUGGGAGAAUUAAAUUUCUUCCUUGGAUUGCAAAUCAAGCAAAUAAAAGAUGGCAUCCUCAUCAACCAAGGCAAGUACAUUAAGGAUUUACUAAAAAGAUUUGGGAUGGAACAAGUAAAGGAAGCCGACACACCUAUGGCGACAUCAACAAAGCUUGAUAUGGAUGAAAAUGGUAAGAAUAUCAACAUCACAAAAUAUUGAGGAAUGAUUGGUUCUCUUUUAUAUUUAAUUGUAAGCAUACCCGAUAUUAUUUUUAGUGUUUGUCUAUGUACAUGUUUUCAAGCAUAUCCAAAAGAAUCUCAUGUGAGUGUUGUAAAAUAUAUUUUUCAAUAUUUGUAUGGUACAAUCAACUUAGGGUUGUGGUAUCCAAAAGGAUACAAGUUGAAUUUAAUUAGUUGUUUGGAUACGGAUUUUGCGGGAUGUAAAGUUGAUAGAAAAAAUAUUAGUGGAACAUGUCGCUUUCUAGGAUCAUCUCUAAUGUCUUGGACUAGCAAAAAAAAACCUCGUUAGCCAUAUCAACAACUGAAGCGAAAUAUAUUGUGGUGGGUAGUUAUUGUGCUUAAAUUUAAUGGAUGAAACAAACCUUAGAAGACUUUAGACUUAAUUUUGAGCAUGUCUCUAUUAUGUGUGAUAACACAAGUGCUAUAAGUCUAUCUAAAAAUCAUAUACAACACUCACGUACAAAGUAUAUUAAAGUGAGAAAUCACUUACUAAGAGAUCACAAGAUUAAAGGUGACAUUGUACUUGCGUUUGUUAGCACAGAACAUUAACUUGCAAGUUUUUUUACAAAUCUAUUAGGUAAAGAUUGGUUUUACGAAAUAUGAAGAAAUUUAGGCUUUAUUCAUAUUAAGGACAUUUGAGGCAAUUUUUUUUUGUGUAUAUAUUAUUGGAGAUAAGUUGAAUGUUUAAAUGAUGAAAUAUAUACCCUCUUUGUAUGAAAAAUUUAUUAUAGUACAAAACUGUUUUAGAUGCAAAAUUGGUAUAAACCAAUUGACUGGUUUGUUAUACAAAUUAAAUUGGUCAACCAGUUGAAACAUAGAAACAAAGAGUUAGCUACUAGAUGAACAAUAGUUUUUUGAAGUUUCAGAUGGGUUUGGUUUUUAAGACUACAAGUUGGACAAAAAAGAUUCUUUUAAUCUUAUAAGACAUUUGUUUUGAUCAAAACUAAAAAUAUAUAUUUCAUGUUAACCGGUCGACUAGUUCAUACAUUUGGGACAGCCAGCUAACCGAUUGAAACAAAGGGAAAAAUCUUAAUUUGUUACUGCCUAAAUUUUAAAUGUUUGACUCUAUUAUUUCUUUAUGUUUUAGACAAUUUUUUUACAUGAAAAGAAUUUAUUUUAACUACAUAAGAAGAAUCAAAAGAAAAAUAUAGAAAAAUUCAAGGUUUAGGUUAAACUAAUUGACCAGUGUAACAAAUUAAGGCAAUCGGCUAACUGGUUGCUUGUCAAUAUAAAUACUAUUGUCACUUUGCAACAACUCUUAAAAUCCUUAAAUUGAAGAAUCAUGACCCUAAAUCGAAACCCAUCUUUCAAAUCACUCAAAUUCUACAUGACGCCUAAGACACGUACUAGAAAUAUAGAAUCAAAGAGAAAAAAGGUAAAUGAUCCUAAUAUCCCUUUAAGUCAUAAUGUAGAGAAGUUAAUGAAUUCUUUUACUAAUCAAUCCACAGCUAUUGAAAGAGGUUUAGGAAGCAUGCUAAGUGAUUUUAGGAUAGAUACAAUAUUUAAUUAUAUUAGCUAGCAAAAUCUUUUUCAUUUGAAAAAUUCAUAUAUCCUAAGCUUAUUAGAAUAGCUUUUUGCAAAUAUAUGAAUUAAUAUAGAGCCUAGAAUAGUCAAUCAUUUGCAAAAUAAACGAAUUGAAUUUGAUUAUGAUACUCUAGAAAAUAUUUUGGGCAUAAACAAUGAAGGUCUUAGGGUUUAUGAAGUUAAAAUCAUACCAACCAUUGGAGAUUUUGUGUAUGAUAAGGCCAUAGCAUAGCAUAAUGGUCAAUUGGAUUGCGCACCAGGUUUAAGAUUAAAAUCCGGGAUUUGCUUUUACGUUCUAGGAUUCUUCAUCGCAUAAUAGCACAUAAUAUUCUACCAAAAAAGGAGCAUUAUGAUGGGGUCACUUUAAUGGAUAUGUAUUUGAUAGACUGUAUGAUUAAAGAAUGUUGCAUCAGUCUCCUCUAUAUUAUGAUAAAGAAUAUCAUUAUGACACAUGAUCAAAAAUAAAAAUCUCUACCAUAUGGUCAAUGCUUAUCUAUUGUUUUUUAAUAUUUUGAUAUCUUGCUCACUGGUUCAAACAAGAAUCCAUCCUCAAAUGGAAUGGAAAUAGACAUUGGGACACUUAAUAAAAUAGGGUAUGUUAUGACCAAUUAUGGUACUUGGAUGUCUAAAGACCAGAUUGGUGCUCAUGCUAAAGAAAAGCAUGAUGAGGAAGAAUAGCAAAAUACCGGUGGUGAUGCUAAGCUUGCUGAUGUGUUUAAGACACCACCUCCAGCUUCCUCUCCUGAAGAUGUUGGUACUAGCUUAUAGAGAUCUAGGAUGGACGAUUGUCUAGCUCAUAUUGAGACUGAUGUGAGUUAUCUUUAAGAAUCAUAAGCGCACAUACUCUCUAAUCAAGAGCAUAUAGCUGGCGAACUACGAGAUAUCAAGGAUAUGAUGGUUAGCUUACUCUCUUGCUAUCCACUAUCCUAGAUGAUUGUACCAUUAACUUCUCAUGUUUUUCAUGCUUUUCAUUUUACUUUCUUUCCUUUUGUGUAAUAAAUGUUGUAUUUUAAACAUUAUGUUAUGUUUUUAUGUCUCAUUUUUCUAAUCUUUUUCACUUUCCCUAUUUACUUUUUGUUAAUGACAAAGAAGGAGAGAAGAUAAGAAAAUAUAAAAUAGAUAUACAUUCAAUCUAAAAAUAUAUAUAAGGGGAGAUACAUAUCUUUAUAUCUAUAAACACAUGUUUACAUAAUUAAGAGGGAGAGAUAUAUUUAUAGAUUCAAUAUUAUUGUUUAAGUCUCCAAGGGACUUUAUUGCAAAAUAUAAAGGGAGAUAUAUAUUUUUAUAUCUAUAAGUAUACAUUAUUUGUCAUCACAAAAAAAGGGGAAUUGUUGACGUAUGAGUCACAUACUAAUAUUUAUAAUAUCUUGUAUUUUUUAUAACAAUUAAAUGGAAAAUAGAGUAAUGAUAUGCUUGGAUGAGAUUAAGUUUAAACAGGUUUUAUAUAAAGAUCACAUCAACAAGCACAUGGAAUUGAAUGAAAAAAUCUAUCAACAAGUCCAAGAUGCAAAGUAAGUGAAGUCUUAGCUAAUAAGGAUUUAUUUUAGAGUUUAUUGUUAAAUCUUUAUAUCUUACACAAUAACAAACUAAAAUGAACUCAUAUACUUCACAUUGCAUGCAUAAAUAUGAUUGAUAUGCCUUUUAAACGGUUCAAGUUUCACCAGGUUUGAAACUGUCAAAACUAGUUUUUAAGCUAAACUGAUCAACUGUUUGAGCAUACCAGGUGAACUGGUCGACCGUUGUUCAUUAGUGAUGAACAUCUAGGAAUUUUGAAGGAAUUGAUCAACCAAAUGAUAUGGAUUUGUAGAUCGCUUUGGCCGUUAGAGACAUUCCUAAGGCUAGUUUCUUUUGGAAACACACACACACAUAUAUAUAGCUCUCUUUUAUGUAAAAUAAAAGGUAGAUUAUGAACAUAAACAUACAUGAUAUAGAAGUUAUUCCAAAAGAAAAACCUACUAGAAAUCAUCAAUCAUAAGAUAAUUUAAGUGGUGCUAAAUUAAAUCUUUAUAUUUUAGCACAAGAGUAUAAAAUAUCACCCUUAUUACACUUACAUACCUUCAAUCAUCCUUAGUGCUAUUGAGUGAGCUAUAGAGAUUAUAAUUUUCAAUUGUAUAAUCUACUCUUUAAGAGAGUUCAUCUUGUUGUAAACAAAUUAUAAUUAUAAACACUUAAGAGUUUGAAUAAAUUAUUGGCAAUUGGUGAGGUAUUGUCACCAAGAAAAAAUCUUGAAGAGAGGACAUCUUCAAGUGGAGAAAUUUCUUGGUGUGGAUUCAUCAAAGGCAUUGUGUCUUUCACUUGGAUUAGUAAAAGAGUAUAAGACUCAAGUGCGGUUGGUACUUGAGGUGUGAAUGUAGGCUUGCUGAACCACAUUAAAAACCGAGUUUGCAAUCUCUCUUUCCUUAUCUUUUUACUUUUAGCACUUUAAUUACAUUGUUGGUUAUUAUGUUAUAUGUGCUUAGUGUGACUAUUUGUAUUAUUUUACAUUAUUAGUGGAACACCUAAUUCACCCUCUAGAUGUUAUUAUUGUCUUAAUCCUAGAACAACAUGUAAUUCAUUUUCUUUGUUGUUUUUUGUUAUUUUCUUGCUUCUUAAGUUUAAAAUACUAAUGAUUUUAUUACUAAGUUGUUUAUUUUUUUUUUUAGAUUAGUUCUUUAAAAGGUUGAAAUGGUCAGUACGAGAGGUAAAAGGCAAAAAGAUGAGCAUAUUAUUGUAAAAAAUCAUAUUUAAGUAAAACAUGAGAGGAGUGACAUCUAUUAGAGUGUAAACAUGUAAGGGUGUUUGUGAGGGCAUAUUAUUCUUGCUACUGACAUGUUUUUUAUAUUUCAAAAAUAUCUUUCAAAGACGAGGCAUCACUUAAGAAGGGGCAAGAGAGCAUAUUCUUUAUGUUGGGAGCAAAGGAAACAUUUAGUUUUAUGUUCUUGUAGACUAAUAUAUGUGACUUUAGUGUUUUAAGUUUCAGAAUUGGGUUUUUUUAAAAAAUUUAUAUUUUAGACUUUAUUUCACAUACUUUGGAUUAUUUUUAAAUUAGGUUUGAUGUCAACUCAUUAGUCCAUUAAGAUUAGGUCUUUGUUAACAUUAUAAUAAUUUUUGUAAGAUUUACUAUUCAGAUUGGUAUUUAUUAUUGUUGUUGCAUAUUGUGCGUUUGUGUGUAAGAGGAUUCUUAUACUUUUGGUUCUUCAUUGAACUAUAGUGACUUAUUAUAGAUUAACUGUCUUUUUAGCAUCUUCCUUAUAUUUUUCAUUCGUAAUUUUUUAUAAUCAUUGAGAUGGGGGUUUCAUUCCAACAAAAUUUGUGCCUUGUUUUAGGUAAUUUAUGUAUCAAGCUUUUAUCAACCAAGAAUGGUUUUAGCUUUCUUAGUUUUUUUCUUUUUACAUGCGGGUUCUACGAUUCUUACCUUUGGGUUCGCAUCAACUAGAUAAAUUAGAAAAGGUGUUUUGCAUGUUCUUAAAUAAUAUUGAUUUUAAAAUCAUUACACAAAGUGAUUUGUAAUUUAAAAAUGGUCUGGAAUCUUAUUCAAAUAAGCAAUAACUAUGGUGUUUAUAACAAAUAUAAUUUGUCAUCACAAACAUGCUCCAUGCUUAAAUGUCUAAAUCAAAACAUUCUUGAUGAAAGGAUAAUAGUUACACUAAAAAAAUGGUUACUAAAAGUUUAAGUCACCUCAUAUGACUUUCCUAAAUUUGGUGGGAUCAUAAUAUAUUAUUAGACAUUGCAUUUAACUUUCAAAUAUAAAUUAAUCAACUUAUUAAAUUGAUAAUAAGUUAAAUUAUUUAAUUUGUUUAAUCAUAUUUUAUUUAAGAUUAUGAUUUAUAUUCGAGUCAAUAUAUUAGGAACCUAAUGUUUGACAUACAUUAAAACUAUUGGUGAGAAAUUAAAUUGUAAAUAAGUUUUAGAAUUUAAGGACUAGUUAGUAAUUAACAUAGAGAAUUACAAUUAUAGACUUAAAACCUUACUUAAGUGUAUCUAUUUCUUAAAUUGCCCUGAUCUUGUAAAGAUAGGGUCUCUGAUUUUUCAGCACAAGUGUUUUUGGCUUUGAAAAAGAAAGAGUGAUUGUUCUUGUUUUUCUUGAUGUGAGGAAAGGUGGCUAAGUUGCUUUUUUUUUAGGAAAAGGGAGGGUAAGCUUUUAUUAGGUGUGUGAGAGAGAGUUCUUUGUUUUGUGUUUGUGGUUUUGUUUUUGAAUGGAUAUUUUUCACAGUAUGCAACCUACCCGAACACAAGUCAUGAACAAGUUACUUGAUCAAAGACCAUAGGCAGGUUACUCGAUCAUGAACCAAUGGUUGGUCGCCCGAAUAGAGACCAUUUGUAAAAAAAAAAAAAAUUAUUUCCCACCUUAUGGGCAAGCUACCCUUACACAAGCCAUAGACAGGUUACCCUAUCACGAACCACAAGUUGGUCGCCCAAACAGAGACCAUUUAUGAGAGUUCCUAGAUAAUUUUUCACACCAUAUGCAGGCUACCCAAACACAAGCCAUGGGUAGGUCACCUAAUUAGAGACCACGAGCAGGUUACCCAAUCACAAAUCACAGGUUGGUCAUCCAAACAGAAACCAUUUAAAAAAAAAAACAAAUUUCACAGCAUGGGAAAACUACCCAAACAUAAGCCACGAGCAAUUCACUCAAUCAGAGACCAUAGGCGGGGUACUCGAUCAUAAACCAUGGGCUGGUCACCUGAACAGAGACCAUUUGAAAAAAUUCUUUCUUUUUCACAAACACGAAAAGGCUACCCAAACACAAGCCAUGGGCAAGUCACCUGAUUAAAGACCAUAAAUAAGUUACAUGAUCACGAACCACAAGCUGGUCGCCCGAACAAAAACCAUUUGUCAGAGAUCCUAAAUAUUUUCUACACCACAGGCAGGUUACCUGAACACAAGCCACAAGCAAGUCACUCAAUCAGGGUUGGUCGCCCAAACAGAGACCGCGGGUAGGUUAUCCGAUUACAACUAAGAGUUGGUUGCCCAAACAGAGACCAUUUGUAAAAAUUAUGUCAAUCCUAAUUUGUGAUAUAUUUUUUUCUCAAUUAAGUUCUCAUUAUUUUGAUUUUUUGGGUCCUUUAGUUAAAUUAUUCUUUUCUUUUUAGUUUUACUCUUCAAUAAAAAAUUUAUAGUUGUCCUUUAAUUUAUGUUUUAUUUCAAUUUCAAUCCUUAUUCUUCUAAUUGCUAUUUUUUUUGUUUUGGAUACUUUUGUAUAAUUGAAGUUUUCUUCAAUUUCUUCCCUUAACAUUUAAUUGGUUGGGGAUUGAGCGUUGUGGUUUUUUCAAAUAUAAUGCUUCUAGUUUAAUGACCUGGGUCAUGUAUUUAAAAUGUUAACGCGGGUUGACAUUAUUAUUUUUUUACUUAUUUUCUUUUUUUGAUUUUAUCAUUCGAUAUUGUAUUUUUUUUUUUUAAGAAAAGAAAUAGUCUUUGUGGUUUUUUUUCAUUUUCUUUUUUAUCGGGUUAUCCAAAUCUUAUGACCUAGAUCGCGGGUUUGGCAAGUUAACCUAGGUUAUUUCGUCCUUUACUAUCCAAGUUACAAGUUUGUCAUGCUAACUCGAGUUGACUCGAGUCAAUUUUUUAAUCCUUUUUUUACUCAAUUUUUCCCUCCCGUAACAAAAAAACUUUUUGUUCAAAAUACAGUUGUUUUAUUUUUUUUAAUAAAAGAAGAAAUUGGACCAACAAGGGUUGACCCAGGUCACCUCUCUUGACCCUUAACUCUGGCAUAUCUUGGAUUGGCCUCGAUUCGGGUUUUAAAACUAUAAUCAAGAUUGUCAAUGACCUAAAAACCAGAUAGUGAUCUGUCCAUAUUAUUUGUUGGUGAAUCCUAGAUAAUAAGAAGGUUGUCUCCAUAAAUUCAUUAAUUUCUUGAAUAUUAAUUAAAACAUCUAAAAAUCCACAUUUUAUAUGUAAUCUUCUUAACAAUAUACAAUUACUAAACUCUAAAAUUUAAAGAAAUCAUAUAAAAAAAGGACUAAAAUUCAUCACAGGUCCUGAACAAUAACAAAUAAAUCAUAAAUUAAAAAAUAUAAUAUUUCUACAUGAUGAGUAGACAAUUAGCUACCAGCUUCAAAGGGCAAGAUAACCUUCAACCUUUUAGCUGCGUUAGUUUUGCAACUGCUUUUGUGUUUGUGGUACAACAAACGUAGUAAAAUAUUUGGUAAUAAAUCAAAUUGUGUUAUGUACCAUGGGGUCCGCUAAAAUAUUGAGUUUGAAACGUAGUUUUUGUGAAGUAGUUUUUACAUAUUUUUUUAACUGAGUUUUGUAAAAUCCUGUUUGUUUUUGUAUUUCAAAAGCACUUUUGAAAAUUUUAAAAAAAUAUAUUUUUUUUUACUUCAAAUUAAUAUUUUUUUUGUGUUUUCAAAUCAUUUUAAUGUGAUAAUAUAAAAAAUAAUUUUUAAAAAAUAAAAAUAUAUAUUUUGAUGCAUUUCCAAGUAAAAAACACUUUGAAAAGCAACCGCAAUCACACUUCCGAAAACAACUACCAAAUAUUUUAUACAUGUUUUUUUGCUACACAUAAACUUCAACAAUAAUUUUUAUUAAAUACGUAUCUAAAUUCAACUAGCUAUACCUAUCUAUAUUUUUUUAAAACUUAUUUUUUUAAAAUCACAACUACAAAGUUACCUCAAAAAUAAACAUAAAGUCUCUAAUAUGCUUUAAAUGGAAGGAAAAUAGGGGUUAAACUAACCAACUCACUAUACAGAAACCAAACACAAGUUUAAUACAGUAAUACGUUUGAAAUCAUAGAACAUCAGUUCAAGAAACAUUUUACAAAACACGAUUCUUGUUCACAAACCAAAUGAUGAACACGUACACUUUAUUUCUUACGAUUAAUCUUAAAUCAACACUAACUAUUAUAUCUGUUAACAGGACCGUUUAGAACUGGUUCUAGGUUAGCAAAGUCUCUGUCAAACAGCUAGAUAACUUCCCGCUGUUAUAUUUACUCUUAAUUAAAAAAGAAGAAGAAGAAAACCCUUUUUGUCGGGUAGCUGUUUUGAUAAUUGAACUAGAAAAUCCGCGAAAACAUUGAAGUGCUAGAAAAACAAGUUUAUAUUGAAUCUGAUUAGGUCGAUUCUCGAAUUAUUUAUACCUUAAUUGUGUUUUUGACAUGCAAUGACAUUAGAAAGUGAUUGUGUUCCUCAGAUUCUCUCCCAUUAGACAUUUGCGGUGUAUGAACGAAGCAGAAUCCCAAUCAAAGGAUCUACCUCACUGUUAGAGAAGGAAAUACAAGAAACUUCGGAUGCACAAAGUCUCUUCCCGCAACUUGUUUUCUUGGGUUUUGAAUCUCACCUUGGAGGCUUCGAUAUCGACCAGACUUCCAACUUUGAAGGAUCUUACGGUUUGAGGAGGUCUGCUUCCAGGGCAAGAUUCUCCUAUCUGUGCCGCACCAAAAGGUUGAUGGACUCUCAAUCCUGACCUGAUCCUAAAAACCAGAUCUAGAUUCUCAGCUCUUAAUAAUUAUAUAUGUGCCACGUAGAAAGAAACCAUCGGCAGCUGUAUAGGCUAACUCCACAUGCAGGUCUCUAAAUAACAUAUGAACAUGAUUUUUAAAAAAAUGUUGUACAUACACCUCUGGAUUCCUUACAAGAAACGGUUCGUCCUUGGAUAUCCCUCCAAACCGACAAGACAUGAUUCGUCCAUGUGCAACAAAGCAACCAAAAAAAAAAAAAAUUAGAACAAACGAGUAGACAUGAUCGAGACUGAAUCAAUGCAGCCUUGUCAGCUCUUCCACUCUCUUGCAAAGCUCCUCCACGGAGAUCUCCAUUGCCUUGGAUAUCUCAUCCAUCCGACUACGGGUGAGAUCAAGGAAUGACUCGAUAAGAUCUCCAUCCAAGAAAUUCUUGGCAUCUACAGUUUUCUUCUCAUUGUUGAAUGAUCUCCAUUGCUCAUGGCUCAAUCCUCCAACACCCUUUAUCACCUUUCUUAAGUUUGACUGCAGCUUCUCCAAAAAGAGGUAUUGCUCAUGAGGAAGUGAAGCAAUGACCCCGAUUACACCAUUAACAGUCCCAAAAAUGACAGUUGGGAUCUGGCCAACAUCGGAAUCUGGCAAGCGCAUGACAAGGGAACCAUGUCGGAAUCGAUUUACAAAUUCUCCAAGGUGAUACUCACCGACCACCUCAAGACGGCCUCGUUCCUCAUCAGUGGCACCUUCACUAUUUUUCCGAACCGUGAAUAGGUUAAAGUUAUUUUCAGCACCAAGGUAAAUGUCAUCAUCAAGAAUCUCAACUGCCGACAUCCAAUUUGCAUUAUAAUCACGGGCUCGCUCCUCAAUAGCACCUUCCUCAUGCUGAAAACAAGUUAGCAGUCAUGUCAGCUAGGCAUCAUCAGAAACAACAUAAAUGCUAGGGGCUCUUCAAUUUUGAUGUAAUACAUAUGUCAAAGAUAUGCAGUCGAGCAGCAAAUAAUUGGAACAAGUUGAUGAUGGAAUGAUGAAAACAAACACAAACUGAAUUAUUGAGCAAGUAUUUGUUUCAUGAUACAUGAAAUACUCACCUUAUAGAUUAGCAAGGAGAUUGACUUCAUCAGAUCACCAACAACAAUGAAAUCUCCACGAGUUUGUACAUAGAGGGCAAGUAUGUGCCCAUGAUGCCCACACUCAGACUGCAGCUCACGUGUUCCAUCAUCUCGGAGCAUCCACUUGUAUAACUGGAUCUUUUGAUUAAUAGCAGCCAGCAGUUUGCCAUUGAAAGCAUUCAAAGAGUAUACUGCCCCCUUUGUUUCCUUCUCGGCAAUAAGCUGCAACUUCCCAUCUUCCACUAUGAAAACCAGUAUUCGGCCCUACAUUGUUCAUGAAAGGAAGACAUACAGGUGGAAUAUGAGAUAUAGGAAGUGCUCACUGCUCAAUUUUUAAAUUGGUUUUGUUUUAACUUCAUAUUUCGGAACAAAGAAAAACCAUAACAAUCAGGGUGACCUUUACCUUGGUUGGCUCGUUUUCUUCUGGCAAAACAUAUGCAGUUCCAACACAAUAGUACACGUUGCUAUCAUCAGAAAAGGAGCAGCUAAGUAUGGAGCAGCCAUACUCAAAUGUGUCAAGUGGGUAUGUUGAUAUGAACUCAAAGGUUUGAUCAUCUAACAAUCGAAUAAAAUGCAUUUCAGAUUCUUCUGCAUUGGAUUGGUUUUUCAUACUACAAAUGGAGAAAGUCCGAGACUGCUCCUGGUGACAUAUACGCCGUGCAUGUUCACCCAAUGGAAUAGAGCGGAUGUGAAGCUUUUGGAUAUCAUCGAUGGUGCCAAUGCUAAGUUCCCCUUCUUUUGCAAUAGCAAGGCUGUUGACAAUAUACCACAAGUCAAUGAACUGUGAAUUUAUCUUUUAGAAAGUAUUUUUCUUUCCCUUUAGGAAAAAACUGCCGUACAGUAGUGAUAAACCAUAGGACGGUUCAUACAGAAGCCGGUUUCUAAUACUAUUUUUCCAUGUUCUCAUUUCAAACAAUCCCACCCUACCUAUCUAAAAUAUUCCUUUUCAAGCCAUGCCAAAACCAUGCCGCAUAAAAUUAUCACCCCACUCUGUUCUGGAAACGGAGAAGCUAAGUCCUAUCAGUAUGAAUCAUGGUACAGCAACAAAAGACAAGAGCCUCAAUUAGGCAGAGUCAAAUGAUAGAUAGCCCAUAAAUAACUAGUUCAGAAUCAAUGACUUCAUAGUUCUUCAGAGAUUGUUUGGCUUUUAAAAAACAAAAUUAAGAUGUAAGAGAGAAAUUUAAAUAGCAAUGGCAAUCAUGACCUUCAUAAGUUCUAGAAGACAAGUGAUUGCAUAGCAUUAUAGUAGAGACGCUAUUUGCUCAAAGUGGAAUAGUGAAUAUAGUUUCCUAACAAGAAAAUCUAUAGGAAAGAAACAAAGAAUCUCCAAUCAAAGAUAAUUGCACCAUAGCUACCUAUAAUCAGUAAAAAAAUAGAUUACAUGUACAUAGAAUUUGCAAACUUUGCUGCUGGUUUCAAUAUUUUGCAGUAAAAAGUAGAGUAGGAAAAUCACAUCACAAAAGUGUUUCCGUACGAAAUGUGUUUGAUCAAACCAGCAAAAUCAAAUUGUAUUUGAUAAAAUCAAAGGUUUUUCCCUAUUACCUGCUACAGUGUCGUGGUGCAAGCCAACAUAAAAAUUAGGAACACAAAAGAUUACCUGUCUGGAAAUGCAGCAGAGUUAAAAGGACACAUAUGACUGACUUCUUUCAAGUUCACAUUGCUGUAAAGUAGUUUCUUGUUGCUGCUGUAAAUGACAGUUGGCCUAUCUGAUGCAGCAAAUACAUGUGUGGUAUUCUUCGAUGAAAAAGUACGGAGUGUUAUAGGUUGGGUCCCCAAAGACACCUUUUUCCUAUCUUUCAACUCGCCAGUACUCAAGUUCAGUAGGAAGUUCAAGAGGUGUCCGUCUCCAAGGGCACAUAAUAAAUACGAUAUCUGAAGAAAGAGAGAAAUUAUUAGCACUCAAAAUUACCUCUCCAUGGGAGAAAAAACCAAACAAAUGUGAGCACCCAAAAACAUGUUGGUGAGAUUUCCAUAUUCACUAUUCAUAAUAAAAAGUUCAUUAUCUGAUUAUGGUCCCACCAAAGCUGGGAUUAGAAUCCAACAAACAUCUUCCUGGAGGUUCAAAUGAAUGCAGUAGUAUGAUAAAAAUUCCUUGGCUUGUUUGUUUAAACUAAACUUUCUGAGAAAUAUUUUUUGCAAGUCAAAUUUAUCUUUGGUUUUGAAUCAAGAAAUCUGUUCUUUGCACAUGUGACCCAAUGUAUGACAUGGAGUUGAAGCCGCAAAGAAACUCGAGCAGAUCCAAAAGAAGAAGAAAAACCACUUAAGACUGAAAGUGAUAAGCAUACCCCUUCAAAGGAACAUAGAAGAACAGAACGGGGUAUUAUCUCUCCUCCCAAUGGCUCCUUUGUUAUGAGAUUUAGAUCAGGUAAUGAAAAUAUCCUGACACUUAUGUCUGUCCACAUUCCAACCGCAGCUAGUUGACUAUAGUUGGGAUUCUCUCCAAUGGGGUUAAUGUCCAGGCAUGAUAUCUCACACUCUAACUGUGCAUGUUUUGCCUGUGUCAGUGUCCCAUCACCGAUUUCCAGAUAGACGAGGUGGCCAGCACCAGUUGCCAAUAAAACCUGUCAAAUAAGCAGUGCAAUAAUUGAAAUAAUUUCUCAUUCUAUACAGACAACCUAGCACAUGGAAAAACCUAUGCUACCAGCAACCAUUGUUCAUAGCGAACUCAUCGAAGUUAAGCAUAGAUCAAACAGAAACCAUACAAUUAAAUGCCAACAACUGCCAAAGUCAAAUCCUAAGCAUAGAAGUAACAUGUUGGCAGAAUCACUAACAUGCACAGAAGAAAAAUCGAGCAAUAUAGCUUCCCCCGUGACCAAGGAUAAAUAUCAACUGUAUAAAAGGCUGCAUAUUAUGAAAACAGUUAUCACAAGUUUAUGGCAGAUUGGCAUGUGAUCUACAAAUGUGCCACAGGUAAAGACCCGGUGCCUUCAAGAUGAUGUGCUGGAGUAGAAAUGAGUAAUAACAAAACAGAACAGUUUCACACUCAUUUCCAGCAAAACCUGCUGCAAAUUUAUUGUCCAAAACUGGGAAACACAAAUGUUAACACCAAUAGAUGGGGAAUUGCAUGAAACAAACCUGGGUGGCAUUAGCAGUGGCGACAUUUAUUGAAUAACCUGAUGGAGCAUUCCAUUCCUGUCUGAGCUCUCUAGUUGUAGAACUGACCAGUCUUACAGAGCUUGAUGUAACCUGCCAGGUCAAUCCUCCCAUAUUACGACAUAUAAUAGUGGAUAAACAGUAUCUCCUAGCAGAAAAAAUUGGAUGCAGAGAAAUCCUUAUCACAUAACCUAAUUUCACAAAAUUGUAAAUUCAAAAUGGCAAAGAGAGGAAUGAUAAUAAAACUUGAAAAAAACAACCAUUGUGAGAGCUUCUAGGAUAUGAUGAAUGCAAAAGUAAAUUUCCUUUUGGUAAACUGGAGGAGAGGGAGCAGGUAAAUUAGUUUCCAUUAAAAAAUUAACACUUGCCACAAGUUAAUUCUCAAUAAUUAAAAUGUACCUGACAAUAGACAGUGCACAUGAAUUCGCAUUUGAAAAGGAAUGGAUUUCAGCAUAUCAACGCAAGAUCAUGUGACUGAUCCCAAACCCAAUGGUUAGCAAAGGAUGGUAAGAGCCUUGUUAACAGAAAAUGUAAGAGAAAUUCUAUAGCACAAGCACAAGUUCAGCCUUGUGGUGCACAGCAUUUUUGGAGUAAGAGGACAUAAUAGAAGCAUAAGAAAAAAUGUUGCUCGCAUCAAACCAUAACAAAUAUAAAAUAAACACCUGAGAUUUGUUGAACUAAAUUAAUCGGUCAAAUUGAUCUGGUUAAUCAAGAUGCAAUGGAACAAACAAGAAAUUUCUUUUUUAUUUCACCGGAAACACGUAAACUUACUUGUACAAGCUGGUUGAACACAGCACAAUGGCAGAACAAUGUCUGCACUUGUGAACAGAAACCCUCUAUUUCAGUUUCCUCCAACUCAUCCUCAAUGUUCAUUGCCAAAAUUCUUGUCUCGCUAAUAAAACUUACAACCAGAAAGGUGUCAAAUGGAUCAUCAGUCAAAGAUCUUAAUGACCACAUUCCUUUGAUGCCUUGAAGCUCUACAGAUGCCUACAAUGAGUUCUAUAAAUAAAUAAACAAAUAAAAAUGCACACAAUCAAUUUACAAGGAACCAGUAAAGAAUAAGCAAACCUGUUCAUUAAUUCCUAUUCCAUUACGAACUAUCCGAAGAGACCCAUCCUUAUAGGCUCCAGAGCAAGUGACAACCUGACCUUGGCCUUGCCGCUCCAGGUCCACCACACAGAAGUCAACAAUUGGUCCCAAAUUGACAUACCUGUCCAGAACUUCUACAUAUGAACCUUUUGCAUCGGGUUGCAGAUUUAACUUUACAAGCUGCACUUGGGAUCAACAAGAUUGUCAAUGCACUAAUAAUGCACAUGAACUAAAAUUAUAGACAAGGUCAAUUUUUCCCUGCAUGUCGAUAUUACUUUUUCUUACAAGAGAAUAAAACAGAGCAGGUCCAUGACCAAGGAUUUCCUUACACUACCAAAAAAAAAAUUGAAAUGAAAACCAUUUGGAUGUAGAAAAUUAGAAUUUUCAACAAAUGAAAUCUAUAAAAAAAAUGUCAACUACUAAGAAGACAAGGAAGAAUUCUUAGAUAUACCUAUUCUUGUCCUCCUCUUCUGCAAUCAAACUCUAUGAAAUACAGUUUAGUCACUUGUAUCAUGCAAUGCAUCCACCAGAACAUCAAUCAAUUAAAUAGAUGUUUUUAAACCAAGUAAAACACAUUUUCUCCCCAUUCAUUACAAAAUUGCAAAAUCCCAGUACAGAUUCACUAACAUCAGGACAACACUAUAUAAAUAAAAAGAUCUCAAUUUAGAAUUUAUUAUUCAACAGUAAAAUGGAAUUUUCUAAUAUUCACCAUACCUGUGAAUCUCCGUAGCUUGAACCAAUAAAGACAAAAGCAUUGUCGAGAUAUGAUAUGGUAGAUGCAAUAGAAGUUUCUCCCAAUAGCUCAAUUUUGAGGCCAGUGACCCUGUAGCACAAAUGUGCACAAGCUUGAGAAAAUUCUAAUAAUAGUGAGAAGUGAUCAGUUUGCUUUUCCAAUGAAAUGAAUGCAUGCAGAUCAUCAUCAUCAGCAAGGAAAACUCACUUUUCUUUCUCAUGGGUUAUGACUAGAAGGUGAAGAAGCCCAGCAUGAUCACCAAGUAAAUACCUAGAACCAUCAGCAUCAACCCUUCCAUAUGCUUUCGUGAUAGACUAGCAGUGAAAAUCAAGGAAAAAAGGUCAUGAACAUAUAGAAAAGUCAGUACUUGCAUACUGGAAAUUUACUACGAGAACCUAGCAUAAUAUCAACAACAAUCCACCAGUGACAUACAGGUCUGAUUGGGAUCGCUCUAAAAACAUUGGCGCUGCAAUAUACAAUUGUUUCUUCUCCAAUAAUAAGAACACCACAGAAAGGUGGGGGAACUGGUAUUAGCAAAUCAGCACCAUUGUCAAGAUUGUUCUGCGACCAAGGACCCUCAAUAAAGUCUUUAUCUUUCAAAGCAACCUCAUAUGUUUUAACAUGACGGGCAUCCUUGUUAUCCUGCAAUGAUAAGAAGAGAAUAAAAUGGGCAUCUAAAGUUUUCUUCCUAUAAUAUGCGUAUAGUUGAUAAAAAAUCACAUGCAGGACAUAUAUAUUCUAGAUAACCAGUGUCAAGCUAACUAUCAAACAAAGCGAUCAUUUCAACACAAGAGUUUUUGUUAAGCAUUUUCCACAUGAAUAAUAAAUUACUCAAGAAGGGUGAAAAGGAAGGCACAGUCCAAAGCACACUAAGAGCAUGCAAGCACCAAAAGAACAAAAAGAAACACAAAAAUAAAUAAAUAAAAAAAGCUACAUUCUAAGAUCUAAGGUGCCCAAGAACCCCAAAAAUCAGUCAAGGUAGUGACUAAGGGUGAGAAAAUGUGUGGAUACUGUCCGACCAUUGCAGUGGAUGUAGAACAGAAACUUGCAGACAAAUUAUAUUUCAAGGUGGACAUGGUUGCUUCUUUGGAAUAUAUCUGCAAGCUUCAGACCACUAGUGCUUCUGAUUUUAAUUUUCUAAUGCAGAAUCCAAUGAAACUUAGCUAGAACACAGUCGAUAUGGAGAAAUUUUUGGGCCCCAGUUUCUUUAUUAAUUUCAGGAAAAAAAAAAAACAUGGACUUAGGCAAGACAGCUGAUGGUUUAUAUGCCCUACUUUAGUCAUUAACAUGCAUGGUUUAUAUAACCUACUUUACUCAUUCAACAUACAUAGAAUCCACAAGCACAUAAGACUUUCUCAACUCACCCUUAGUUAUUUUGAUUAAUAACAUAGCCAGUUUCAUGUAAAAAUGUAACACAUUUUUUACUAGAAAGACAAUUUUCAGAGCUUAUGCUGCAGGACACCUCCUUGAAUAAUUUGAAAACUUAUGAAGUCCAUUUGAUAUGAGAAGAGAAAGUAACUUUUUUUUAGAUUGACCAUCACUUCAAUUUAAUAAAAUAUAUAUAAAUGUUCAGAAGAUUCAUGCAUAAAAAAAAACAUUAGAGAGAACUACAUCCUGAAAGUGGGGAUGCAAAAGGAAAACAGCGGACCUGGUAAAGAACAACAAUCGUUGGUUUUGAACAACCAUGAAGAAAUUUGAUAUCCAAAACUUGAAGUUCCUCAAGCCUGUAAAGAAGACACAAUAAACAAAUUAUUGUAUAAGCAUAUAAUAAAGAAACAAUAAAACUCAAUGAUAAAUUCGGCCUCUUCACCAUAAACCUAUGUGCAGACAUCAUAGAAUUCUAGGGCAUGGGCAUGAGGAGACCCUCCUUUCCCAGAAAGAGCAAUGUCUCAAAAUUAACUUCCAUCAUUCUACUAUUUAUCUAUAGCAAUUCAGAUAGUCUUUGUUACAAUUGUCUCACUAAUAUAUAUCCAUGUAUUUACUAGAAAGCAGCUUCCUAAGAGAAAUCACGCCUGGUUAUUGCAUACACACACAUGCACUGCAUGUAUGUGCAAUUGAAGUAUAGGAAUCCAGAUCCAAUACACUGGACAUCAACUUCACAGCCAAGGUCUUCAUAAGCAGAUUCGUAUAUUCUUUAGAUAGGUCAUGGCAGGUUUAUCCAUAGAACUGAUGUUGAGUAAUUGGAUAGAAGAUUCAUACCUUAUGUUAAAAGCCUCUUUGAGCUGUCCUUUAUUAUCAAAAGGAAUGACCUGAGAAAACAACCAGUAAAACUAUCAAUUCAUCAUUCUUUCCAUCAUCAAUAAUAAGAUGCUCUUAUGUCAACCAGUACAAUUCACACUGCCAUGUUGAAAAUUCAAGUUGGAAUAUAGUUUGAUCGUGAACCUUAAACAACCCAUCAUACAAAUGGAGUCCGAUUAAUCUACAAUCAGGAUCAAUUAUGCCAAUCUGCAGUAAGAAAGGAAAGAUAAGAUAUGAACUAGUCAGGAAGAAGUUCAUUACUAACCCCAAUAAGAAGUUAAGGCACACUUGUCCAGAUGGAGGAAGAUAAAGGAAAACUACUCUUAAAACAUGAAUGAAAAGCUUAGGAGAAAUGAUGGAGAGACUCAAUAUGAACCUAGAGCUGUAAUAAUUACCUGACCAUUGUCUGUUGGGCGACCUAUACGGUCUGAUACAUCCCCCAUUGCUCUAUAUGAGAAGGAAAAGAAAGAGUCAAUGCAAGAAUACUAUAGAAAAUGCCAUCCACAUAUUAUAAAAAUUUCAGAGAUUCAUCAAGGCAUCUAAUAUCUAGACAGAAGAAAACUAGAGGCUGUUAACAUCACCCACCCAACUUUGUUACUCUAUAUACAACUUCCCAUCUUUCCUUUUCCCAAUACCGGCAACUAAGUUACAACUUACAACAGGUUGCUUAUGGACUCCAACUGUCUCAAAUAAGGAAAACUGUAGUUCCCAUAUUAUUUCCCAUUAUUUUGAUAAUUAUUAUUCAAUCCGUUUAAAUGUAUGAUGAACAUUUUAACAAACCGACCAAGAUGAAGGAAUAAAAGCACAGCUCCUGAUUUGACCCAUGUAUCACAUCAUGGAAAGAGACAGAAAUAGCUAUAAACAAUUAUUUUCAAUCAAACAAACACCGCUCAUCCAUGUGUUUUAGUCUUUAUUGAUUAUCCAUUAUCUGAAAUACUUAAAGCUGAUAUGGAUUUCAUCUAAUUCAUGUGUGUUAGUUUUCUAUUUUGAUUUAUUCUCCAUCUAGAAAUCCUUAAACCUGAAGAGAAUUUCUUCUAAAUUUUAUAGGAGCAUAAAGAAGAAAGUUAUAUGGGAGAAGCGGAUACAGCAGAAACUCUAACCAAUUCAUAAACAAGUCAACAGGCAUAGAACAUACAAAAUAAAAUUAUGAGUGAAGAAACCCUAAAUUGAACCCAAAAUCUUCCACUAAUACUUGAUUAGUUGCACUGUAAUUGUACCAGCUAAGUUUCAUACUAGUGGAACUGCAAAGCAAAUUAGACAGCCUAAUAAGUAAGGAGGCAUCGAUAAGACUCAAGGUUCAGGCUUUGGAAAAAUGUCAAAAUUUAAAAAAAAAAUAGAAGAAAAUCUGGUGGGCAAGAUCACAGAAAGCAAACCACACUCUCACUAAACAUGUUUAGAAUUUCCCAGUAUAACACCAGCUCAUAAGUCACUAGAUGCACAGUUCAUCUUCGAUACAAGGUGAAGGUAACGUAUUCAACAGUUGGACUUCGAAGAUUUUAGUCACAAAAAGCUCCAAGAAAUGAAUAUCAUUUGACAUUUUCAGUUUAAACCUGGUAACUAGCUCAGACGUCUCUGCGUCCCACUGAAGUACGCAGAAUUUGUAUCUUUCAGUUGCAAUAAAUAAAAAGUCCUGAGCUUCACCCUGAUAAAAAACAUUAAAGAAUUGAGUUCAGAUUUAAGAACAUCAAAAACACAUAGCCGGAAGGUGAAAUAAAUAGAGAUACUAACAUGAGGCCGGAAAAGUUCGAGAGUUGCAAUUCGUCCAUAUAUUGGAACAUCUAACAUGGGCUGCAAGGAAAAAAUUGGAGUCAUUUCUCAUGCUUUUUUAAUGUCUUAUUAGAUAGAUAGUUUUAAUAACUUGUAAUUUCUCAUAAAGCAUCCAUCCUUCCUAAAACUUGUGAUUUGGGACAUAUCCAACGGGAAAACAUGUGGUUGGUUACCUGUAAUCCCUGAGGAGUAAGCAGAUUGAUUUCGAUACGGGUACAUUUCCUGGAGCAAGUAAAAUGAAAUUGAUAUUAAGGAAACCAAGCCCUAGUGAGGAAGAAAAACAAAGACGGUAGAUAAAUAUAUAAAACAAUCAAUUGAAUCCAACAAAAAAGAGAUGGAUUUCUUACGCAAUGAUGAGAUUGAGCUCUUGAGAACUGGUGAAAUUGCCGACACAAGAGUGCGUCACAUUGGUGGGCUUGUGAGCAGUCACCACGUAGUUCCAAACACUCAUCUUCACUUUCAGAUCUCCACCUCUCUUUCUCUGCGCGUCUGUGUUUUGCUCGAAGGAAAUGAAAGAGCCCUAGCGGCUCCUGCUCUCUCUAGUGUUUUGCUGUUCCGUCUCCGUUUCUGGCCUUUUUCACUCUUUUCUAAUUUACUCGCUGGUUAGUAAACUCCAAGUCAGACCCCCAUCUAUACAUAACUUUCUAAUUAAGUCCUUCAACUACUGCAUUCCUUCUACAACACCAUCCCAAUCCCCCAGUAGUAAAGUGUUGAGAAUUCCCUCUCACUUCUAACAAGUGGACAAGUGACAUCUUUUGUAGUGUCAUGUAGAAAGAAGCCUGAUAUAUUUUUUAGAAUGGUAGUUGUUAUUUUUUAAAAUAUUUUUAUUUUAUAAUAUAUUUAAAAAAUUAUAAAUAAUCUGAAAAAUUAAAUAAAUUAAAAAAUAUUAUUAUUCUAAAAAAUAUUUUUAAAACAUAAAAAUAAAUAAAUUCAUUAAAUAUCUUUCGUAUAUAAAUAAAUAAGAUAAUAUAUAUUAUCUCUCUAAUUAUAUAAGUAGCACCCAUCAAUAUAUUUUUCCCAUUCAAGAUCUUUAUCUAUUCUUAAUUAUUUUUAAGUAUAAAAAAUAAUAAUGAAUUCUUUUAAUAUUGUAAAAAUUCAAUCAAGCAAUUAUUAUACAAACGAAUAACCGAGACAAGCAUAGAUAACAGUCUAGUUUCCUCAAGUAUUCUUAGAUACGAAAAUGUCCCGUUUUUGCUUUGCAUUUAUAGCUUUUGUACCUUGACCGCAUACAUGUUUUUACAUGCACUGAAUGGGAACAAAUUGCGCUCUCAUAUCUGACAUUUGAGAAGAUAAAGGUUCAUGAGAAAAUAUUAAUACUCUAAAAUGCAUUGGCAUGGAAAAGGUAUUACAGCUUUUUUUCUUUUUUACAUUUUUUUCCCAAGAUUAUCUUCUUCUUUUUUAUUCUUUUUUUUAUGUUUUUUUAAAUUAUUUUUGUUAUUUUUUUAAUAUUGAAUUGGUUGAGAAUUUAAUUCUGUAAUUUUUUUCUUUAAAAUAUUAUGAAUUGUUGCAAUGUUUUCCUACUUAGUUUUUUAUCUUUAUUUUUAUGAAUUUUUUUUUUAUUUUUUCAAAAUAAUCUUUCUCAAUUUUAUUUUUUUUAUAUUGAGUUGGUUGAGAAUUUUGCUUCGUGGUUUUUUUAAAGAAAACAUCGUGGAUUGCUACAAUGUUUCUCCACAUAGUUUUUGUUUGCUACAGUGUUUUCCUAUAUGUUUUUUCAACAUUAUCUUUGUUGAAUUUUUUUUUAAUAUUGAGCUAGUUAAGAAUUUAGCUUUAAAUUUCCUAAAAUAUUUGAUUUCCUAUAUUUUUCUCUUUUUUUUGUUUUUUUUCAAAAUUAUCAUUUUCUUUUUUUCUUUUUUUUGUGUUUUUUUUUUAGAAUUGUUUUUGUCGAUUUUAUAGCUUUUUCCUUGAAAACAUUGUAAAUUACAACAGUUUUUCUCUAUAUAAUUUUUUCCACAAACCCACAAUAAAGCAUAAGCAUGCCAUAAGCACACGACAUCACGCGGGCAUGACAUCUAAUAUAUAAUUAGAACAUGUAGUAUUUAACAUCAUUUCCAAUUCUUUUAAUAUUAACUAUAAACUAAAAGAUGAGGGUUUUACUGUUUUAUAAAAAGAAUAGUGAUUUAAUUUGCUUGUUUUUUUUCUUUGAUAUUUUAUUGGCCAAUGUUUUUUUUUAGGUUUGAUGGGUUAACCUGAUUUGACGGGUUAAUCUGGUUGACUCGGGUUUUUUUUUUCCUUUUUUAUAAUUUUUUUAUAAUUUUAUCAUUUAAUAUUAAUUUGACUAAGAGUUAAACUUAAUUAUUUAUUUUAUUUACUUUUCAUUGGGUUAUUCUGGUCUCAUGAUCUAAGAAUAGUUCUUGACGGGUUAACUCGAGUUGACUCGAGUUGUUUUUUGUGCUUUUUUUAAUUGUUUUUUUUUUCAAUUUUAUCUUUUAACAUUGUAUUGGUUGGAAAUUGAGCUUCAUAAUCUGUUUUGAUUUGUUUUUUAUAAGAAUAUUUUUGUCUCACGAUCAAGAUCACAGGUUUUAGCAUUUUAAUCCUUAUAAAUUUAGGCUAUUUUUUUUAAUUUUCUUUCUAAGAGGUUAUAUCAAUCUCAUAACAUGAUUCACAUGUCUUUCAACAUUAAACUUGCUUUUUAUCGAAUUAUCCUCGUCUCAUGAUCCGAGUCACAGGUUUGACAAGUUAACCCAAUUAACUCUCUCUCUCUCUCUCGUAAUUGACCCUUUUUUUCUAAUUAAUAGUUUCGAUUUAUUUUUCAUUAGUUUAUUCUGGUCUUAUGACUCAGAAAUAGUAUUUAAUUGUUAACUCGGGCUGACUUAGCUUAUUUUUUAUGUCAUUUUUAUAAUUAAGAUUUUUACAAAUUUUAUCGCUCAACAUUAGGUUCAACAGGGAUGAUUGAGAAUCGAGUGUUAUAAUUUGUUUUGACUCUCUCUUUAUGGGAGUAUCUCAGUCUUGAGACUAAAAUCGCGGAUUUGACAUGUUAACUCAAGUUAAAUCUGGUUGUUGUUUUUAUUUUUUUACAAGGUUAUCUCAGUCUGAUAACUUGGUAAUAAGUUUGGUAGAUUGACUCAAGUUAUUUUAUAUGUUUUUUUUUUAAUUUAUUUUUUUAUUGAUCUUAUCGUUCAAUAUUAGGCUAGUUAAGGAUUGAAAUUUAUAAUUUGUUUCGAUUUGUUUUUCAUAGGGUUAUCUUGGUUUUAUGACUCGUGUUGCAAGUUUGACAUGUUUACUCAUGUUGUUUUUUAAUUGAAUUUUUUUUAAUUUUAUCAUUCAACAUUAGAUUGAUUGAAAAUUAAGUUUCAUAAUUUAUUUUGAUUUUUUGUUUAUAAAGUUAUCUUAGUCUAAUAAUCCAAGUCAUAAAUUUGACAUGUUAACCCAGAUCGAACCAAAUCAGCCUAAUAUGUUGUUAUUUUAAUAUUAAAAAAAGAUAUCAUCUUAAAUUUUUGUUUAGUCAGGUAUUGUUUUAUAAGUUAUAUAUGUUGUUUUUUAAUUUGUAAAGUCAAUCGGGUUAUAUUGGAUAAAUCCUCACAUGAUUUCAUUUUUUUUCUAGGAAAAAAAACAUUACCAACAUUUGAAUAAUUUUUUUACGUUCAAGAAAAAUUUGACUUGAUCCCAUAGCAAUACGGGUCAAUCAUCUAGUACAGAUCUAAUUCAUGAAAUGUAGAUAGAUAAAGGACUAAAUUAAUAAAAUAGGUACGGAGAGAUAGAAUCAAGAACCUAUUUAUAGUUGACGGAUGAAUAUAAGAUCUCCCCUAAUAAAUGAUAAUGAUGGCAAUUAUAUUAUUACAAGUAAAACGAAUGAUGAGGCCAAAAAUGAACAUAUACUCUGGGGUGGGGUAGAAUUGGUUUUUUAAUAUAUUUAUUAUAUGGUAUAAUCACUCUCAUGUAUUUGAAAACAAAAAAAAUGUUCGAGGUGUGUUUUUGAAGUUUUAUAUAAUAUAAUUACUGUACCCUUUUUAAGAUCAACUUCUAUUUUUUUCCAAGUUCAAGGAUACUUUUAGUUAGGAAUGAUUAAUUUUUAUUCGGUAUGAUUUUUAUAAUAAAAAAAUAAUUAAACCGAAUUUUUUAAAAACAAACCAAAAUCAAACCGAAAUUGAUUAAAACUAACCGGUUUCAGUUCGGUUUGUUUUUUUAGGACAAAAACCAGUUCAAACCAGUUUGGCUCGGUUUUUUCAGUUUUGGCUCGGUUUUUUUUGGUUUGGGUCAGCUUUUUUUUUAGUUUGGGUUCUAUUCGGUUCGGUUCGGUUUUUUUGUUUCAGGUUUAAAAAACUAAAACCAAAUCGGUCGGUUUUUUUAAAAUUUUUAAUUGGUUUAAUCGGGUUUUUUUCAUUGUUUGAUUUUUUCGGUUAUUUUUUUUUUUGAUUUUCUCGGUUUAAUCUUUUUUCGGUUUUUUUGCCCACCUCUACUUUUAGUGUUUUAACUUUAAUUUUCUUGCAAAUAGGAUUAAGGGUAUUCUAAUCAAAGUCAUAAUUUAUUUUAUUAAGUAAUCAUUAUUUUGAAUAGUAAUAAGCUUGGAUAUUAUAUUUUCUGAUCAUAAUAUAAUAUGUAUAAACUAUAUUAUUUCAUCAAUAUUUUUAUUUCAGCAAAGAAACAACUUUUCAUGGUUAUUUAUCGUUAAAGAUUUUUUUGCCAUAGAAAAUGCUAUCCGAGCUCAAGCAUUUUCGAUCCUAUUUUUUUUAUAUAUUUUAAAAGUGUUUUUUUAAAUAAUUAAUUUUUUAUUAUUAUAAAUAUUUUUUUGUGUUUUCAAAUCAUUCUGAUGUACUGGUGUCAAAAAUAAUAAAAGACAUGGCGUUAUAUUCAUAUUAAAAAUUUGAUAACUUUAUAAUGAUAACAUAUCACUUUGUCUCUUGAAAAUAUCACAUGUAUUAUUUUAAGCUAGUUUUAGAAAUUUAUGCAAUGAUUUUUUUAGGUCUAGAAUUGUAAUCACUAUAUAAAUUGUAUUAUAAUCGUUAAUUUCUAAAACUUAUUUACAAUCAACUCUCACUUGAUUAAUCAUUUGAGCUUAAUUUCUUAAUAAUAGUUUUUAACGUGUUCAACUAAUUAGAUUUCAAAUAUGAUGAUUCAAAUAUAAAUCAUAAUACUAAUCAAAAUCAGAUUAAAUAAUUUUAAAAAAAAUUAACUUAGCAUCAAAUUAAACAUAUUAAUUGAUUUAUAUUUGAAAAAAAAACGACAAUCUCAGGUCAAUCGGAAAAAAUAGAAUAAUAUAUAUAUAUAUAUAUAUAUAUAUGUGUGUGUGUGUGUGUGUUCAUGGUCUUCAUAUUAAAAUCUACUGGAAUUUCGACGGAGUUCCCCUCUAUACCGAAAGGUCCCAUGUUAUUGACAUGGAAUUUAUUUACACUUUUAAUAGCUCGCAUCUCAUAAUUUAAUUCCCGACCCAAUCAUCCCGGGUUUCAAUUUCCACGCUUAUAUUCACACCUAACAACCACAAUAUUUACGAUAUGCAUUAUAUAACCAAAAUAUCAUUAUGGAUAAAUAAAAAUAAAUAAAUAUAAUUACAUAGGCAUGAAGUAUGGUUAUAUGAACUACAUGGUUAAAUUCAUUCAUUCAAGUUUAAACAUUAAUUAUACAAAUUAAGUUAUACAAUUCAAUCAAGUUUAAACAUUAAUUAUACAAAUUAAGUUAUACAGACAUUUUCAUGUUUACAAAAUAUGAGGGUAUACUCCCUAUAACCUAUAUUAUUAGAAGGGAACAUAAGCUAGGAUCUACUCUUGUCGUGCAUACGAUGAUCCUGAAACAAAAUACAUAUUAUUGAAAGGUGAAUAUUACAAUAAAUAUAACAACACGAAUAUCUAACAAUUUCAACAGUGUAACAUGCAUUCAAAAUCCAUUCGCUUCUUCCUUCUAGUUUUUUUUUAUUAGAAUCCCUUCCUUAUUCAACUAUUAAUAAUUGUUUCCUCUGCCACUUUCAACCUUCAUUCCAGACUUUAUGAGAUCAAACAUGAUUAUUUUUGCUUAUCACAUUAUCGAUACCAAUUUCACUGGUAUCAUCAUCAUCACCCCAUAUGAGUCGAUGUAAGGUGAUCCCCUUAUCCGGAAUCCUAACAUAUACUAAAUGUAUGCUAGUCCAUACAUGGUGAUCCCCUUACCAGUCCAAUCAUGGUGAUUCCCUUACCCAGGAUCCUAACAUACACUAAAUGUAUGCUAAUUUACGCCUCAAAUCGCACUUCUCAUAUUUCCUUUGUCAAUGAUAAUUUCAUCAUUUGGAAAUUCACACAACAACUUUUCACCUUGAAUACCCAUACAUUCAGUAAUUCACAUUUCACAUUGGUAAAAUAAAUAAAUCAUGAAAUUAACUAGGAAGUAUAGGUGCGAUUCACCUACCUGCAAUAGAAGCUCUGCUCGUACUCUCCUGCUGUUGUUCCUGCUGUUACACCAUGCCUGUGGUCCCUCCUACAAUUCACAGGUUUAUCUUAUAAAUUCUCCUCACUCAAGGAUAUGUUUUAUUAUAAACAUAUCAAUAACCAAUAAGUCUUUCUUUUAGUCAUUUUUUAAUAUUUUACAUUUUUCUCAUUUCACCCAUUAAUAUUGUCAUUCUUUGUGCAACCACAAUUAUCAUUCCUUUAUAUAUGAGACAGUAACAGUUCAAUGUCUAGACGUAACAAUUGAACAGUAACAGUUUAAUGUCUAGAAAGUAACAGUUCAAAAAUGAGACAAUAACUAUUAUUGUCCAACUGUUACUGUCUCGUUUUUUGAACUGUUACUGUUUAGACAUUGAACUAUUAAUGUCUAGACAUUGAACUAUUACUGUCUCGUUUUUGAACUGUUACUAUUUUAUUUUUGAAAUGCUACCUCUUUCUUUUCCCUAUUCUAUCUAUCUAUGUGUUGUAAAUAAAAUACAAUGAAUAGAAACAAAACAUACAAAAUAUAACAUGAGGCAUGUAUAGAUAUUAUUUUCAAGGAUAUUUCAUCAACACAAAACUAUUCUCCAGGAUCCAUCAAAUUUUUCCUCUAAAAACAAGGGUUGAGAGACAACGACCAAGAUAGAAAUGAAAUAUCAGCAAACUUUACAAACCCAAAAAAAUAAUACUAUGUUUUUCUUUCCGUUCCUUUUUAAUGUAAAAGUGUAUGAUAUUUAUAAGCUGCUAAUAUGUAACAGCUAAGCAUAAAAUAAAUUAGAAAAUUAAAGAGUUGUUAAAACAGUUUAAAAAAUAAAAGAGAUGCUAGGGAAUUAAAAAGUUGUAGCUGUUAAAAAAGCUUUUUUUUUAAAAAAGAGUUGUUAUAAUUUUGUCACUAUUAGAAAAAUAAUUCCAAGAAGAGGCAUAACGCCUUACCAUGCCUCCAAUACUUUUAAUUUAGGAGAUUAUCUUGGGUCUAACAUAGCUAAAAACACCAUAAUAUUUGAAUUCAAGUGUCUUAGGUCUGACACCAAUUCCAGACCCACGUUUGCCUUGGGUUAGGUUGAUCUUCAAACCCAAGUAUUUUAGAUCUUGCACGUUCGCCAGCCCUAUAUUUUCUUGGGUCUGACAUGAUUGCCAAACCUAACAGUCUUGCGUCUAUCGAGGUUAUCAGACUCAUAUCAAAGUUCACUAUAUAAAUACUAAAUAAAAAUCUUUUGAAAAAAUCUUCAUUAUUUACAACACUAUACAGGCGGCACCUGAUGUGAAAGUCUUUAUUUGAUAUUAUAUCAUCACACUAUCAUCCAAAAAAUAUAAGACAUGGUGUUAUAUUUAUAUUAAAAAUUUGAUAACUUUAUUAAUGAUAACAUAUCACUUUGUCCCUUGAAAAUAUCACAUGUAUUAUUUUAAGAUAAUUUUAAAAAUUUAUGCAGUGAUUUUUCUGGGUCUAGAAUUGUAAUCACUAUAUAAAUUGCAUUAUAAUCGUUAAUUUCUAAAACUUAUUUACAAUCAACUCUCACUUGAUUAAUUAUUUGAGCUUAAUUUCUUAAUAAUGGAUUUUAAUGUGUAUAACUCAUUAGAUUCCAAAUAUGUUGAUCCAAAUAUAAAUUAUAAUACUAAUCAAAAUCAAAUUAAAUAAAUUAAAAAAAUAACUUAGUAUCAAAUUCAACAUAUUAAUUGAUUUAUAUUUGAAAAUUAAAUGUACAACCUAGCAUUGUGUCAUGAUCUCCUAUAUAUUAUAAAAAUCAUAUGGGGUUUUACUUAUAGUUUAUGAGUGUAAUUAUUAUUUGUUAUAAGUGUAAUUAUUAUUUCUUCAUCAAUAAUAUUUUAAUUUAGAUGUUUGAGCAUGAAAAGUAUUUGCUUUGUCAAAUUGUAUUUGUUCUCAGAACUAUAAUCAUUGAUUUUUUUAAUUAAGACUUGAAACUCCUUUUCAAAUCUCAUUCUAUAUUCCGCAAGAAUUUCACAAUUAAUGCAUUUUAAGAUCAUGUAAAAUAUUUUCUCUAAUUCAUAUAGGAUGAUGAAUCAUUUCUUGACGACUCAAAUACCUUCAUAUAAUUCAUGUUACAUCAAAUAUUUAUUCACCUAUUACUUUUGAUUAAGGCAAUAUCAGUCAAGAUCAAAACAUAAUAUUCAUUGUAUAAUAUAACUUAAUGAUCUCAAGUCUAAUGAUUACUUACAUAAUCCAAAAAUCAUUUAUAUAACUGUCACACAAGUUUUUCAAUAGAUACAAGCGAUUUCACCAUAUAAAAUCCUCAAACGUGUCAAUUUAGUAUAUAUAUAUAUUAUUCUACAAGCACCUUCAUAUUAGUUUAAAAUCAUACCUCAACUUAUGAGAAUAUCCAUUUCAUUUUGUAAAGAAAAGAAUAUUAUAUAUAUUGGUCUCAACAACUUUAAUUAAUGCCUAGUCUUAAUAAAACGUUGACCAUAAAGAUUUAGAAACAAUUCUUUAAUACAAUAAAAAUUCUCAUAAUUAUAACAACUUUAUAAUUUUCUUUGCAAAAUAUUUUUUUGUUUAAAGACUUUAUUUGUACUAGACUCUUUAAUCAAACUUCAAUAAAUAUUAAAAACAAAGAAUAUCUUUUAUUAAUAAUAAUAUAUUCUUGCAUGAACAAAAACAAUAUCACAUUGAUUAUAGAGUUUAUAAACUAACAAAUUAAGCCCAAGUGUCCCGCUCAACAAAACAAAGGCUUAAUGCAUUAAGUCUGCAAGAUCAUGCUUGUGUACUUUGUUUUUUUUUUUUUUAAAUAAAAAUAAAAAUACAACACAUAGUCCACGUUUUUUAUUGGUGAUGCAUUGUCUAUGUAUUUAGAUUCUAACCAUCAAAAUAUAGCUGGAAAAUCAAAGUUUUAGAUCUAAAACCCUCUAUUUUCACGUAAUAAACACCCAAAUACAAAAAAAUAGAAUCAAUUAUUCAUAUCCAACGUACCCUUUUCUUCCCUUUGAUGACGGUUGAUGUAUCAAAUACCUUAUACCUGCCUAAAUUAUUUCUCGUUAAAAAAAUUCGCAUGGAAAAUGCUAGCCGCGGGCAUUUUCAUCUCCUGAAUUGCUACCCCUUCCAACAAGUUCAACUGUAGCUUAAAAGGUGUUUGUAGUUUCGUUUUCUCUUCCUCAUCCUUGCAUUUGCUCAGAAUUCUUCAAACUGGACUUCUAUAGACCUUUAGCAACUUGAGAAUCCAGACCUUACGAGAUUUAAUGUUUCAGAUAUGGAAUCCUCCUCCGGGCAUUCGUGUUUUGCUUGAUGCUGUUAAGAUUAGGAGUUUCUUUUUUGCGUAGCUAGUUCUGUGCUUUCUUUCUUUUGUACCCAAAAAAAAAAAAAAGUUGCUGCUCAACAGACUUAAACAGAUCCAUGACAUUAUUUCCAGAAAUAUGCUGCUGCUUUUGAUCAUUCUUUGCCUUUAAUGUGAUGAUUAAGGUAUUUGUUCAAAACUGAUAAACCAAUGCUCCAUGUGAGUCUUCCUUAUGGCAAAUAGCAGCAUGCAUGCACUUAUUUUCCCACAAAAUGCUGGAAUGAUGACCAUUCUGGAUGAUGUUAAAGUUCGAUUUCAAAAAUCUAUCUGGCAAUAAAAAAGUAGCUCAGCUUAGGCGGUGUAACACAGAUCUUAGACCUAGUCUAGCUCCGGCAGACCAGAAACCGGACGAAUCCGCAAGUGAUGGGAAGGAGCGGUUAAGGAACAGCUAAGUGCAGGCUUGGAAAUAGAAAGAGCCUAGAAAUUAUGGGAGAGGAAAAGGGAAAUUAUGGCAGCCGAGCUUGCAAGAAAGGUUCACGAAUUGAAUGAAACAGAGGAGCUUGUCUAUGACCUCAAAUCCCAAAAUGAGACAUUGAUGGCAAAACUUCAAGCUUGUUUCGUAUAGAAGAAUAGUAGUAGUAGCAGAGGAGAAGCACAAGGGAAUUAAGCACUUCAAGAGAGUAAUAGGGCACUUUCAGAGCAAGUCCUCUGCUCCCCUGAUAGUUGUCGCUCUUUAAAAAGAAAAUACAAAGUUGCAACAGAGGAAAACAGAGGAAUUUGCGCUACAAUGGAUGUAAUUGGGAUGGAUGAAGCUGCAGUGCUUGAUAGUGUAAGGAGCUAUAGGAACCGACUGGCCACAGGCAAAGAUAUUGAAGAUGAGAUUUCAACGAGCGUUUCAAUAUAAGAAUAUUGGAUGUGCUAAACUAGAAGCUGAGAUUAAUACUAGCAAGCCUCCUGCUACAUAAUAUCAAGUUUUUUUUCCCCCAUGGAAGACAAUACUCUUGAUUAUCUUCAAUUAUUUAUAAAGAGGAAAGCGAUUGUAUCGUGUAGUGAUGUUGCACACUGUUCAUGUGCAAUUGCCUAGUUCAGUUUUCCAGUGUACUCUCUAAAAUUUUGUUUUCUUUUCUAUAUUCUUACACAGGAUCUAAGCUCUUAAGGUUUCUGAUGCUUCUUGUUGUGAUGGAUUUCGCAGACCCGUGUUCUUCAGAUUUGUUUUGAUCUUUCGCAAUCAGGGUAUACAAAUGUUCAAUUAUUAAUGAUCCUAGUCCUUUCAUGGAGAGCAGUCAGCAGCUAAACGAGGUUAUAUUGUGCUAGCUUGUAUCGUAUGACAGCUAUACCCAAGGGAUGACCAGAGGUAGGAUAUGUAGUUCUCAAACAAAAGAUCCCCAGGAUUUGAUUAUUGAACAUGGCAAGGACACUAUAUCACCAUAGAAAGAACUUCAUAGAAUUAGUUAGGAAGGGAGAGCAAGAGUGCUUGAGUAAAACCUGCUCAUGAAUUGAUGUAUGAAAGAGGCAAUGCUCAUACCUAAGUUUUGAUGAAACAUGUACAGAGCUCCCAAUUUUGAAAUAUAAAUCCAGCAUUAUUGAGCCAAACUUUGCAAUUUGCAGGCUGCUAUAGAGUUCAAAACCCAUUUAUUGCUUACUGCCUUCGCUCCGGUUGAACUAGCUAGAGCUUCUGCAUCAGACUGCCUUCGGUUUAAUAUCAUAUUCUUCUUGCUAGGAGCACAUUUAUCAGGCAUCUCGAGGCUGUAUAUUAUGAAAGUUGGAGGUUUAGAGUCCAGUAACAAGGUUCCCUGGGCUCCCGAAAUGGGUUUUCUGUGCAGAAUUGUUCCUCCACCAGCAACUAAAAGAUCUUGUAUGUAUCCCUUGUAAGAAGGAAUAAAAUCUCCCAUGAAAUAGAACUUAGAUCCCUCAAAAAUGUUUGGUUGCUGCACAUAAUAGAACUUGUCAAUAAAAACAACUGGAUGUGUUAAGAACAUGUAUCCAACGUGCACCUAAAGAGAACUGCAUGCAUGCAUGCACACAUUGUUGUUAGAACUAUGCUUAACAGGUGAUUUAGCUUGCAUGCAAAGAACUAGGGCCAAUUUUUUUCUUCAUAAACCAAAUUACGGUCACAGAUAAAAGCACAAAGCCUAAUACAGGAGGAUAAAAAGUCUACUAGCUCUGAGAAAAGAUGCAGAUUAAAAACCCAAUGAGAGCAGAUUUCAAAACCAGAGUUCAUGAGUUCUAUGAUCGCAGAAGAAUCUUGACAAAGAUAUAAAGUAAGAUGAAAAUAAUACAAACGUUUAUGGAGCAUGCAGAUUAGAGAUGAACUAAACUACAGGUCUGAUGCCAGCAUGGAAAGGGAAUGAUCUGCCUUCCAAUUAUAGAUGAAUCCAUGGAAACAAAAAAAAAAGGACGAUUCCCAAAAUGUUUAAGAUGACAACUGUAGAAGCAGGAGCAAACCUUGUUCAGGACUCUUAGUCUUCCAUUUCGUGGACCAUCCCUGAUUCCGUGAACAUCAGCAGUAAUUUCAUAUCGCAUCUCUUCAACAAUUUUCAUGGCUUUGAUACAAGCCUUGACCCCUACAGAAGGAACAAACAAAGGGUUGAGUACAAGCAGAACCGCUAGAUUCACAUGCAGAGUCAAUCACCAAUGCUCGGUAUCCGCCUCCUCUCGAAUAUACUGAUAAAAAUAAUAGCGUUCUGCAUGUUUCAUUUACAUAAGUUCAAUCAAUGCCACAGGUGGCACCUAAUCCUAACUUUUAAAUGCAAAUACACAUGCAGAAUUAUUACACGUACAUGCACCCAUGAUUCUUUAAUGCACACACAAAUUGGGUACUUGAACAUUGAGAUAUCACAGCAUUCUAUAACUUGAGCGGAUAAUUCAUUUCAUGGAAACAAUUAUACUAACAUUCAAUGUUCACUAUCCACUUCCCCUUCAAGAUACCCAUCAAAACUUUAAGGGUUCUUCUACAUGUUCCAUUUUCAUCUGUUGAUGCAAUGACAUGAGUGACACUUGAAUCCCAAUUCUUCAAGACUGUAACUCCAGAUAAACUCUCAAACUCAGAAACAAUUUCCUGCAGUAAUCAACAUUUUCAUUUAGGAAAGACAAAUGUUACAAAGCCGAAAGUCACUUGUAGAUUUUCUAUUACCUUUUCUCCAACUGUGAGAGCCGAACAGCAAAGAACCAACUUGUCAUGUGUUAAACAUGAUUUCCGACUUUUAUGCAUAUUGAUGUCAUGUUUGAAAGUAACUUGAUUGUAUUGCCUUGGUGUUUGUCUGGUAGAGGAAGGAGAAUGAGUAAAAGGCAUUUAGUAUGAUUUCCAAGUAGCAGCUAGAGCCAGCUACUUAAGAGAUAAAUUUGUCCAUGGAAUUUAGAAUACCCUUUUGAAAUGCAGUUUUUUCUCCUCUCUUGAGAUUGUUUGCUUUCAUUGGGCAACUUACAAGAAGCAUGAAGAGGGCAUAAGAUGACAAAGUUUUCCUGUUGCAAGAGAUUUGAGAAAAAAUCAAAAUGAUGUUUGAACUACAAAGCAUUGAAUUUAUGACACUCACAGUAUCCCAUCGACAUUGGUGGGUCAACUUUGCGCAAGGAACAUGGAAACUCUUGCGACAACUCUUCUCGUAACAUCCAAGAGCAGCACCUUUGAGUCCACAGCAGCAACACUUAAUUCUCCGACUUCUAGCUAAUUCAGCUUCAAGGUUAAUUGCAUUAUCACCCUCGAAGUAGACAUUAGGUGCCCUGCAGGUAUGAUUUUUUAUAAUUAUACGAUGUCUACCACAACAACAACAUGACGACAUGUGUAAACUAAGAACUUUCCAGAGAAAGUAACCAUUUUUUUAGCACUCCUAUACAGGCCCAUGACUUAAAUUAAUUAAAAAAACUAAAAACUCAAUGAAUUGCCUUUAUGAGCUCUUUUGAAGAAUUCUCUUACCACUCAGCACAGUUUUUAUGAGAGUGUAUGACCCUGGAUCCACCAUUAUAAUCUGCCGCCACAGGUAUGCCAUUGUUGUAGUGGAUCAUCUCUCCUGAAGCCUGUAAUUUUGGUGGAAGAUGCAGAAAUGAAAUGGAUUCAAAAGUCAUGAGAUACAGGAAAAAAGCAAAGUAGGACUCACAAAAACAAGGAAAACAAACAGAUACCUCUGAGACUUCUGAAGAAAGACAGAAAGCACAUUGAAUAUUAUAAUUAAGCUUGCAGUUAAGCAUGGCCGCUCCAUUUUCUUGGCAAUGAUCCCUUGAUUUUGCCAAAUCAUCAAGAAUUCGAGUAUUAAGACUGGCUUGAACCUUCUCAGCAGAUUCAGUUGCCCUUGCAGAGUUGCCAGUAAUAUUUUCAGUGGACUGAGCUUCCUCUGCAAAGACAUUGUCAGCACCUUCUUGAUGGUCACUGACUAAUCCAUCUUCUAUGAUACCAUCUAAUGAAACUUCCAUGUUUUUCUUACAUUUUAAGUCUUGAUUAUGUUCUGGACACAAUGCAUACUUGACUUCUUCCCCUUGUUUGCCAGGUUUCCCCUUGAUUUCUGAGGGUUUUUUAUUUUCAACCAGAGGGACAGGUAAAAAGUAAUCAUGGGCGUGUUCAUCUUUGUCCAUUUGGUUGUGUAUUGAAUGGACUUCUUUAAUCAUGUUUAUCUCAACAGAAUCCAGCUUUCGUUCCUUGCACCGGACAUUGAUCUUUCUACUCACUUUUCCAUUCUUCUUCCUUUUAAGAUUACUGCGACCUUGUUUCUUAUCCAAUGAAAUAGGCAGCUGAUCAGUAACCGUGUUUUCAUCAGCCUGGUCCAAAUUUUCUCUAACUGACACAGAAGAAACAUUCUCUCCUUUCAACCUACCACCCUUAUCUGCAUUCUUCCGAGCACAAUUCCUUAACGUUGUGUCCUUAACAUUCCUGCCUCUCUUAUUGGAAGUAUUACGCCCGAUUUGGUAAUUUGCACUUUUAACUAUUGGAGAGGAUAGAUUGGCCAGUAUGUCUUCAGAAAUACCCAUUCGCGGUUUGGUAUCAGUACAGUUUUUGCUUUCAUCACUACGUUCUUCAUUUGUAUUUGCAUCCAGUGGGGGUUUUUCUGGCUUACUUUCUCGAAUUCCAUCCAUUUCCGUUGUUUUUUCAGCCUAAAUUUCACUUAAAAUUUCAGCGAAAGCCAGAUGACUUAAGCACUAUAAAAUACUAAAAUUAGACAAAAUUACUUGGGUGGGAUGAAUACCUGCAUCUUUUCCGGGCUUGAAAAAAUCUCAGGAGAGCAAGCUCGUUGCGUCCAUUCAAACAUCUCACUGUCAAAAAAAUCUGCAACAUGUGAUUCGUUGCCACACACUGCCCCCUACAUCAUGUUAGAAAAACACGAGUAAGCAAAUUGAUGUGGUCGGACUAAAUGUUAGGGUAAUUUUAGGAACUCUACACAAGAUAUAUAUUUUGCUUGGGUUAACUAGCUUUGUUUGAGGAGAGCAUAAGCUAUGGAUACAACGAAUAUUAGAGUUGUGUUUCCAAUAGAUUGACAUAAACUUUACAACUUGAUGAUUUUUAUUUUUGUUUUCAUUUUUCAAUGUCCACUCUUUAUCUGUAUGCUUAUUCUGAAAGGAAAUGAAAUAUCCAUCUAAUGACUAUACAUCUGUUCAGGAAAGCUCAAUGAAAAAGUGUUGAUUGAAUUCAAGAAGAAGAGAAGAACCAGAUAAACCAAUCAAUUACAGGAGCUAUGAACCAGAAAUAUGAGUAAUUGGCAGCUCACAAGACACAAGUUUAGCAGAGAAGUAGCAAGUCACGAGAUAUUAGGAUAAAUUUGAAUCGGACAAGGGACUCACUUUCGAGGAUGAUUCGGGGGGGUUUUCGUCAUCUGAGUCUUUGAUAUCACUGAAAGUAGGAACAUUUGGUGGUGUGAUAUCCAGAAGCUGAUCUACAUCAGUGUGCUGACUUGACUUCUCUCCAUCUUCAUCUCUCAACCAGAAGAAAGGCAAUAGCAUGCGCUCUCCCUUUUCAUCGACAACAGGGUUCUUCCUUGAGACUGAUGAAUCAUUUUUAAAGUCAUCCUUUUUUAAUUCUCUUGAUCCAGUUUGUAGCUUCUCAGGUUGUGCCGAUGUGCCUGAAAGAGAGCAUUGUGGUACCUGAACUCUUUUCUUGGUUGGAAACGAAGGUUUCGAAGUAAUGGGACCACAUGAUUCCAUGUUGGAUUCAUCAAGUUUCCUUGAAUCUUUUUGUCUGGAUUUAUUAAGUUGCUCCUCUAACAUAUCCUGACAAAUCCAACCAAUAUCUUCUCUGCCACAGUCCGUAUCGUCUCCUACUUGCUUUUGUACAUCUGUAACAAGAACAGCAAGAAAUCAUAAAGACAAAUACCCAAUAUUACCCUCACAACAAAAAAAGAAGAAGCAAAGAUAUAGAUUGCUAGAACUUCAUCUAAGGGAGCGCAAACAGAAUAUUCAUUGCAAGUGCUCCAUGAUUAAUGCAAGAGACUCAUGUUUGAAGUUGAACAAGGAUACAAAGUAAGUGCAUAAAACCAAUAAUUUCCCUUGAUUUUUUUUUUUGCAUCACCUGGUAAUUUAGUUGAUGGUGGUGGAUUCUGAGUGACGAAUAUAUUGAAUCCUGAAGCAAUUUCCAUGCUUUUGUAAAUGCUGACCAAGGUAUCCAUAUGAGGGGCAGCGCGAACCUCUGAGGCGAAAAAAAUAAAAUCAACACAGAAAACACCCUCCUCUUUACUCCAAGAUUUUAAAUAAGAAAAAAAUGAUAAUGAUUCAAAUUGAAAAUAAAAGACAAGAAGCAUCAUACCUCUACGCCGGUAUGGCACUUUACAGACUGGACAAUCGGAGCCUGAUUUCAUCGAUUUCACAAUACAUGAACUGAAAGGGAACAUAAAUUAGAGUAGAGUAGAGGGAUUGAAAUUCAAAACCAACAAAAAAUUAGUGAAAUGGAAUUUACUUGCAGAAAACAUGAUUGCAUGUAAGCGAGACUGCAGUGUCAAGAAGACUUAAGCUGCAACAACAACAAAAUAUUAGAUUGAAAAACUAAAAUAAAAUAACAAAUUGAUUAAUUUGUGAGUUGGUGUACCAGAUGGGGCACUUGAGCUCUCUGCCCAUUUUCUCGAGGUGAGUUGGAUCUCCCAUUUUGUAACUCGCUCGCCUUUCUCUCUGGCUUGAAAUUUGAUAAUGAGAAGAAGACGCACUGACGGCGCUCCUUAUCAUUCUUCUUCUUCUGAAAAUUCCCUGCACCCCGCCAAUACGCUUUAAGCUCACGCGCCUUUUUUUUUUUUACUUUUUUUUGCCGCUGAUUUUGUUUUUAAAAUUUUCAAGCGCGACAAUUCUAAACGACUGCCAGCAUGAAUUGAAAAUCAAUAAAGUAUUAUUUGACGUGGCAAUACUAUUAUGAAUAUAACAAUAUAAUUAAGUGACAAAAAAUGGGUUAUUUUAUAUUUUUUUUAUAUAAUUUGCAUCCAUAGAAAAUAUUAUUAACUGAUAAUUUAUUAAUAAAUAUCUUUUUUCAUUUUAUGAAGGAAGAAUACUGGUAUUGAAAAUAUUAAAAUUACAUGAAAUAGGAAAAUGAAAAAAGUCUUAUAAUUUAAGAAGGAUAUCAUAGUGUUUAGACACGGCUCGGUUCAAGGUCAGGAUUUUAAGUUUUGAUCGGGUUAUUCGAGUUAAUUUUUUUUAAUUAAAAUAAUGUCGUUUUAGUUAAAAAAUAUAUAUAAAUGGAUUGCAACCAGGGUUUUACUAGAUCUUGUCGGAUCAACCUACCGGGUCACACUAGGUUUUUUCUUCUUUUUUUCAACCCGGCCCAACUACAGUCCCGGAUUAACCAAGUCUUGAGUCUACCUGCUGGGCCAGACCGUAUUUCAAAACUAUAGAUAAUACAAUACAAAAAUAAAAAAGACUUUUUAUUUUAUACUGUUUUAUAUACCAUUAGCCAAAUAUAAUAUAUAAAUAAAUUACUUUGUGUCAAGCAUCGCUAUUAAAUAUAAAGUUAUCUCUAUUUUUGUUCUAUUUUAUUUUGGACAAAAUGGUUUUGACAUACUAUUUAAUAUAUUGUCUAAAACAAACUAUCAAGGAAUGUAAAACCAAUUGAUAAAUUUCUUUGUAACUUUUCAUGUUAAUUGAUUAUGCAAAUUCAAUGAUUUUUCAUAAAUUAAUUUCAAGUAAUCUUGAAUUAAUUCAAUACCGUUAUUUUCUCAAAUUAAUUGUUUCUAAAAUUAAUUAAGCAUCUAUAGCCUCAACGGGGGGACUUCUUUCCUAGCACUAGAAAGAUAAAAUAAAAAAGAUAAAAAAUAAAAAAAAUUGUGUUCUUUUAAUCUUAAGGAAUACUUCAAGCGGAGGCUUGUCUACUUAUGUUUUCUCAUAUGAAUCUCUUGUAUCUAGCUAUUGAAGAUCUCAUUUUCAUACCAACUCAAAAUAUGUUUAUGGAGCUCUGUGUCAACAAGCGGGAAUCAUCAAGGUAUUUGCACCAUAGGUAUAAUUCAUUUAAUUGCAUAAAAUUUCAAAAUGAAAAAAUCAAUGUUAAUGCUAAUAAGGACAAGUCUCUAACGUCUUCCUAUAGCUUUACAUUAUAUUAUUGUAGAGAGAAUUUACGUGAAUUUUAUAGUUCAUAUGUUCUAAUUGGAAAUGCAUCCUUCCAAGGAGUUGUUGUUGAAAUCAUAAGGGGCAAGCUACACAAAGAUCUAGUACAGUUGUUGAUAAGGUAUGAUCCUCGACAACAACUUUCUUUCUUAUCUUUUUUUGUCAUGAAAUUCUAUAGGUAAGUACUUUAUAUAUUAACUUUUUUUUUUUUUGUUGCUCAUGUUAUAUAUAUAUAUUAUUGUUUAAAAUAAUCAAAUAUUUAUUUCCAUGACAAAAAAAAAACCAAAUUUAUUAAAGAAAAUGUUGUUAUUGCUUUGGCUGACUUAACAUAUAGGAAUUCACUAUCAUCUUUUUUUUAUGGUUCAUGGUGAGAGACUUGAAAAGUUUAAUGGUUUUUAAACUUUAAAAGUUCAUAAAAAAAUAUAUUUUACCCAACCAUUUUGAACCUGAUAAAAAUUUUAACUCAAAUUACACCAAAGUUAUUUGAUAAAGAAUUUGAUCCCAUUGUUAUUGUAGUUGUUGAUGCAUAUUAAUACAUUGAUUUUAUGUGCAAAUGUUACAUUUUGAAUGGAUUAAACAAUAUACUCUAUGAUAUAUAUGAUUUCUUCAGUGGUUAAAAGACACUAUGGAAAGGUUUGAAUCAAAAAUAAAAUUGAAAAUAUAGUAUGAAAAAAUCAUAAUUGAUAAAUUUCACGACUUCAAGAUGCUUAAUUCCAAAACUAUAAUAAGCAAAGUUCAAGAGUUUUAACUCAUUUGCAUGAUAUUCACGUUGAGAUGAUAUUCUAAGUGAAUAUUUUCAAGUGACUAUUAUUAUUAAAAGAUUUCUAUUGUAUUGGAAAUACUUCAAAAAUUACCUUAAGCACAAGUAGAGGAAAAUGAGGGUUAAAAAUCUUAUUAUGAGCUUGAGGUGGGAAAGGAUGAUAACUUGUCCAAAACAAAAUUUAACUUUUCCUCAAUGAUCACUUGGUCAGAUGUGAUUGAAAAAGUAGCAAAUUUCCAUUAUAAAAACCAUUAAAAAAGGUUUGUUGUAAACAACAAAGACAUUGCUAAGAAAUUUAAUGACAAAUGUUUUUUAUGCAACAAAAUAAAAACCAAGCCAAAUAUUACAAAAAUAAGCCCCAUAAGGCAAUCCUUAAAAAAAAAAAAGGGUUGUUCUAGCCCAUGUCAUUAAUGUUGAAAACCUUUAGAAUAAAUUAUAAAAAAUAAGCUUAUUUGCGAUUGUUUUAAACAUCAACUUGAUCAACAACUAUAAGCAGUGGUAAGUUGGUAGUAAUGAUACAAAAUAUAUUUACACAUAAGAAGAUGAUGAUUCUCACUCAUAACUAAGUAGAUGGUGAAUAUUUGUACAUGAAAACUAGUCAAACUUAAAAGUAUCAGGGACCAAAAAGGUCGUUCUAUAGAUGACUUCAUGAAAGCUUUGACCUGAACAACAUGUUUCAGAUUGUUGACAUUAGAAAUAACUUGGUGUUUGACUUAUCAUUGAGAAAAAAAUAGGUUUAAAAUUGUUUUUUAGAGUAAUAAAUUUUCUAAAAAAUAGCAUAUGUUUGUUAUAAAGAAAAAUCCACCAAAAUAAAUAUAAUGACCAUUGUAAUCUAAUAUAAAAACAAUAAUCAUAAAAAUACUUAUUCUCCAUACUUGCUUGAGUUUUAUGAUAUAUGACAUGAUAAUCUAGAACAUGUGAAUUAUAAUUCUAUGCAAAGAUUAAUGAAUUUUGGAUUCUUACCACCAAUUAUUUUUUUAUAAAAAAUUAACAAGUAUGAAGUUUGUGUAGAAUCAAAAUUCAUAAAAAAAAAAUUUUGUCAAGCAAUUAAAAGAAAAGCAAACAUUUAUAUUUAAUUCAGUUUGAUAUAAAUGAUUUUCAAACUUGUACAAACUAGAGAUAGAAAAUGUAUUAUACUACUUUUAUAGAUGAUUACAUGAGGUAUUGUUAUACCUGGUUGCUAAAAAAUAAAGAUAUGACUCUUCAAAUGUUUUAAUGACACGAUCAAAAAAUUAAUGUCUUAUCCCAAGUGCAGGAGUGUCGAAGUAAUAAAUAACCCGGCAAGACUGGAGUCGAACCACAAGGAGGUUAAUUAUAUAAAUUACAAAUAAUAUAUAUAUAUAUAAUAAAACAAAGAGUUUAUGAGAAUUUUAUGGGAUAUUAAUGUAAGGAUUAAACAAUGAUAAAACAGUUGUUAAGGUUAGAGGAUCUACUAAUGAUAUUAAUAAUCAGUAUAAUAUAAACUCUUUUUUAUUAAUCAAUUGGAAACCACACACAAAGAGUUUAUGAGAAUUUUAUGGGAUAUUAAUGUAAGGAUUAAACAAUGAUAAAACAGUUGUUAAGGUUAGAAGAUCUACUAAUGAUAUUAAUAAUCAGUAUAAUAUAAACUCUUUUUUAUUAAUCAAUUGGAAACCACACACAAAAGAGGUUCAUAUUGGAUGAUUUAUCCUUAAUAGUUCAUUAUAAAUUGUUAAAAUGAUCAUAUUAAUUAUAUUAUUUAAGUAACACCAAACUUUUAAAUAUUGUCAGGAAUUCAUGAUACUAACUUAUGUUAACAACAAAUCAAGUUCCUUUUAUAGCACAGGUGUAGGUUAUACCAUACGGUUGACUAUGAAAAUGCCAAGCAUUUGUUGUACCAAGUGUUAUUCAAUACAAAUCUAGAUUAAUUAUUUAAUAAGCAAGGUAUUAAGAAUUAGUAAGAUAAAAAGAUAAGACAUGUUAAUAACAAACUUUAUUGGAUAUAAACAUUGAAGUCCAUGUUAAGUUUAUAUUAUAUCUAUUCUAACACCAUUAGUGGAACCUUUCCACCUUGACAUAAUAAACUUAGCUAAACAUAAUGAAGAAGAUAAACAUAAAUAAAUAACAUAAGAACAUAAGUAUAGUAAAGAAAAUGAAAAGCAUAAACAAGAGAUUAAGGAAAAUAUAACAUGAAAUAAAACUUAAACCUUACAAAAAUAUAAAUAAAAAAAUAAAGAGCUUGAUCUUGAUCUAAAAACCAAGAUGCCUAAAUGCAUGGCAAAUGCCUCCUUUUAUAGGUCAAAAUUUGGAACUAUUGAUUUGAUGACUAAUUGUUGAGUGGGUGGCCACAUCUUGACUUGGUGACAAUCCUUAUUUUCUUGUCUGAACGAAACGACAUGGCUAACGUUAGAAUUUGAACAGAUUUAUGCAUGAAAGUUCUAGGAAAUUGUCUUAGUUUUCCAAAAAAAAAAAAGAAUCGGUGUAUUUGGACUUCUAGAACUCGAGAUAUAGGCUGAACACUGAACAAUGUCUAUGCUGCAGGACAUAUUCAGACUUCUCCGUUGUUGUUACAAUUUGAACUUGAAAACGACCUUUUUGAAUCUUGCACUCUUAUAAAAGUUUUAGGCCUACGUCUUAGCUUUCCAUCCAUAUAGAGCAGACCUAAAUCUAAGUUCUACAGCUCCAGUUAUGACCCAAUGACUGAACAUUGUUCCAGUUUGGACUGAAUCAACAUCUCUUUUCUAAGCUUAACCCUCUCUUUGUCUUCUCAAUUUCAGCAGUUAAACUCAUCAAUCAAUCCCUUGAUUUAUGUGAUAGGUCUGCAUUUAAAAUGAACAUUUACCAUAAAUUAAAAGCAUCUUAUAUUAUUAGAUAUAUUAUUAUAAAACAUGUUCUAGCUAAGGAGUUAUUGAUACUUCAAGUACAAAAUGAUGAUAUAAAACCUUGAUAAAAAUGCACUUUUAAGUACUAAUCAUUUAACAUUACAUUAAUGAAGUUAAAAAAACUUAAUAAAAGAAUAAAGGUAAUAAAAAGUGAUAAAAGUGAAGAACAUGGGGAAUCUUUUGGUGAUUGUUUUUCUCAAAUAACAUUAUCCAUCGAAAUGUUGCUUCUUAUUUGCCUCCAUAAAAUGACAUUAUUGAAUGCAAAAACUAAAUUCUAAAAUAAAAAAUACCAUUAUGAUAAACCCAGAAACACCUUAAAACUUGUGGAGGGAGUUAGUUUUAACUUUUAAUUAUAUACUUAACAAAGUACUUAAUGAAAAUACUUCAGUAUGUGUGUGUGAGAGAGGUAGGGGGUCCUGCAAAAGUGAUGAUAUUUGAUUCCAAAAUGUUUAAAAUAUGACAUGAAAGUAUGGAUUGUAUAUUUAUUGGACAUGCUUUGAGAGUUUCGAAGAGCUUAAUCAAAAUAAAUAUAACAGUGAAAACUAAAUAAAACUAUAGGAAGAGAACUAUUUGAAUACUAUUAUCUUGGUAUACAAAAGAUUGAAUGUUUAAAACAUCACAUUCACUAUUUUGCUAAGUAAAUUUGAUUGUAUUCAACUAGAAAAUAUUUAAAGCUACCUAUCCUAAUAUAGUGAUUUUCCAAUUAAUUUUAUCUUUAUAAUUCCUUGUGUCUUUAUAUAUUGGUCAAUCAAUUUUCAUUCAUAUUGAGGAAGGUUGAAAAAAUAUUUUUGACCUAGUAUUUGUACAUAAACCAUUUAAAACCAUUAAGGGUGAAUGUGAAAUUGAUCGAUCAAUUUCUUUGUAUCUUAUUAGAUUUAUUGACUAUUCAAAUACAAUGAAUUAUUAAGAAUUAAUUAUAAUUAAUUUUAAACCAACUCAAAAUUCCAGCCUCUUGUAUAAGUGAGGAUAAAGGGAAGUCUUUUAAUUUUAUCUUUAUAAUUCCUUGUGUCUUUAUAUAUUGGUAAAUCAAUUUUCAUUCAUAUUGAGGAAGGUUGAAAAAAUAUUUUUGACCUAGUAUUUGUACACAAACCAUUUAAAACCAUCAAGAUCAAUUUCUUUGUAUCUUAUCAGAUUCAUUAACUAUUAAAAUACAAUGAAUUAUUUAUAAUUAAUUUUAAACCAACUCUACAUUCCCAGCCUCUUGUAUAAGUGAGGAUAAAGGGAAGUCUUUCUUAGUAGUAAUAAAAGAGAUUAAAAAUGAAAAACAUAUAAAAUUUAUGCUUUUUUUGCCCUCUUUGCCCCUGUGCUCUCAUUUAACUUGUUUUAGGUUUUGUUGUUAUAGAAAAAACAAAUAUAAGUAAGUCUUAUAGUUCAUAGGCUUUAAUUGGAAGCGCAUCCUUUCAAAGUACUAUUGUUGAAAUUCUUGGAAACAAGUCGCACCAAACCAUUUGCAUUUGUUGACCAGAAAAUUAGCCUUAAUGAUAAAUGUUACAUGCAUGGACAACAACUUUCUUUUCUAUUUUGCUCUUGUUCUAAAAUCAUAAAAGUAAAUAUUCUAUACAUUACGGGUGAUCAUUUUCGGUUCGGUUCGGUUUUUAUCUAAAAAAGUAACCAAAACAAAAAAUUAAAAAAUUGAAAAAUUCUAACCAAAACCGGUUCAAACCGACUGGUUUCGGUCCUGUCCGGUUCGGUUAAUUUUACAUAAAAACCGAAAAACCUGAAUUUUUUAUUUGGGCUUUCUUGAGCUCGUUUUGGGCUUUCCGAUAAGAUUUUUAAUGGGCUUGUAAUUGAUGCUAAUAUUAUUUCAUUUUAUUACAUGAUUCUAUAAUAUAUUUAAUUUUUUUAUCACUAAAUAUUUUUUAUAUUAAAUUAUUAAUGCCAAAAUCAUGUUUAAAAUUAAUUAAAAGUAUUUCUAAUAUUUAUGUUUUCUUAAUAUUUGUGUUUUGAACCCUCCUCCAUCAUAGUUUAAAUUACAAAGCACUGCUUUCAAAAAAACUUAAACAACAAAUAACUGUCAUAAAAAAAAAACACUUCAUACAAAAAUAUAAAUCUUCAUUGUGCACAGCAUCCCAAUCAAAAGCACAUCAAGAUAACAAUUGCACUUUGAUUUCUUAAUAAUAUUGACAUCAAAACCUGAAAUUAUAACAAGAUAAAAUAAAUUAGAAUAUAUAAAAAUAAAAGAUAGUAUUUUACCAUCAAACUACUUUUUAAACUAAUUAUCAUCUGUUUUUUGGAUAUAACUUUCCAUCAAAUUAUAUAAAAUAAAAAAUUAAACAUAUUAGAUAAAUAAAAAAUUAAAUAUAUUAGAUGAUUGGGGUUUAAUUAACAAAUCACAAAAACAAAAUAAAAAGUGUAAAAAAUACUUACCUGGCUGUAACAUUAACAACAAAAAGUUACAAUACUGCACUUUGAAAUUGCAAGAAGAAAAACUCUUACUCUCAGAUCUAAUAAAACACUUCACAUUAGAUGUGUUCAAAUGAUUCCCACUUCUUUCCAUCACAGGAACAUUAUUUCAUCCUUUCACUGUGUCAAUUACUUUCUAAUUCAUUCUACCAAAAAUAGGUUAAGUGCAAAGAAACAAUUAAGAAAACAUUUGCAAGCAAACCAAUGGAGCACCAACACAAUGAAUCAUCAAUAGCAAAAAGUUGACAUACAUUCACGCAAACAAGCUCUCAUAGUUCUGAGUUUGCAGGAUUAAAUAGAUAAAAACACAGCACCUUUCAUCUUCAAACAUGGCCAACUCGUAUUAAAAUACUAUUUCAUAACAGCCCAAAUACACCAACACGCACAUGACCUUUAAAAAUCCCACCUUUUUCAACACACAAAGCACAAUCAUCCGAAAAAACACCACCCAAAAUCCAAAAAUCUAAACUUUAUCAACACCCAAUACAUAACCAUCUAAAACAAACAAAACCCAGCACUCAAAAAACCAUAUAAAAACAUAAAAGAGGGUUACUUACUGGAUAAGAUCUUGUAACUGUUGAGCUUUAGUGUUCACAGAACUCGAAUACACAGAUCACACUACAGAGCAUAUGUUUAAAAAAAAAAAACAUAGAUUGAUAGAAAAAAAAUCAUACCUGGUGUGACAAGAUUCAAGGUCAGGUCGGGUGUAAGAGAGGGAGCUUAGGGAGGUGACUAGUUUGCUAGAUCUGGAGGUUAGGUCGGGUCGGGUCCGGUGCCAUGCCCGUUUGGGAGAGUGAGAGAGGGAUAUGGCUGGCUUGUCUAGAUUUGUUAUUUUUUAUAUGGUUUGUGAGGGUUGAGAAGGGGCGGCUAGACGACUGAGAGUGUGAGAGAGAGUGUGAGAGAUUCUAAUUUGGAGAGUUUGAGACUUGAGAAAGAUGAAAGAUCUGUGAAUUUGGGAUCUGAAUUAGUGAGUUGUGAUUUUGUGAAUUUGUGAGGGUUGAGACUUGAGAGGGGGCGACCGGAUGCAGGGGACAAGUAUUACUUGCUAGGGUUAAGAAUUUUUGUAUUUAUAGUACCCCUUAAUGGAACCGGUUCGGUUCGGUUGGGGUUUGGUCGGUUUCAGGUUUCUUAAACCGAAACCGAACCGAACCGAGCUUUUUUUUUAAAAAAAAUAAUCGGGUUAAUCGGUUUGUUUUUUCGGUUCAAUUUUUUCGGUUAUUUUUUUCUCGGUUUUUUCUGUUUAAUCGAUUUCUCGGUUUUUUUGCUCACCCCUACUAUACAUAUAUAUACUUAUCUUUUGUUUAUGUUUUCUUUUAUUAUUUUGUAAUUAUCCAAUUGUUUUUUGCUAAACAAUUUUCUUAAUAUUUCACUAUCUGAAUAUUGUUUUAUCUCAUCGCUUUUUAUCUUCAGACAACAUCCAAAUGUGCAUCCAAUAUUGUUCUAAAAUCUACGAAACCACUAUAUAAAAGUUAUUUAUUAUUUAUUUUGUAGGUUUUUCACAAUAAAAAUAAAUUAAUAUAUUACUUAUUACAAAUCAAAAAACCAAAACUAGUGUGUUAAUUGUGCUAAAAAGAGGAGUAGCUCAUAUAAUUUGAUCUCUAUUAAGCUGAAGUUUAAAUCUUUUUUAUAAAUAAUGCAAUCAUGUAAUUACAGUGUUUCAAUAUUUAUAACUACAAGAAUGACAAUGAUCAUAUAAUAUUGGGUCAGUCAAGUCCAUGAUAGAUACAUCACAAGUAGAACAAGAUCGGUCAUGAAAAAAUCAAUUAAAAAAUUCCCAUUGGGACAUGGUGGGAGGAGGAUCAAAUGUCUCCCAUUUGGCUGCGACAACAACAGGUUUUAUUAAUGGAUUUGAUAUCUUCAACACGUCUAGUGUUUCAACACACCUCUGCACCCUCUUACCCUGCAUAAAUUGAACACACUGUUGUCAAGAGUAUAAGAUUCUUUCUUUCUCUUUUCAUGAUAGAAAACUCCUUUCCCCUUUCAUUUUAAGUUUUCUUUUUCUAAUUAAAAAUUCAAAAAGGUGUUUAUUUAUUGAAAACAAAAAAUUCAAAAGGUUUUAAUAAAAUCUCAUGUUUGAAAUUACUUUGAGUGUCGAGAAUUGAAUUUCAAAUGGAAUUCAAGCUUUAAAAAUUAUACAAAAGUAAAUAAGUUGUCAACCCAUCUAAUUUACUACAUUAAAAAAUAAAAAUUAUUGUUAAAACUAGUUCCUCCAAGAUACUGAUCUACCCAUCCUUUUUUUUUUUUUUUAUCACUCUCUUCUUUUUUAUUAAAAGUACAUUUUCACCGCCAUUAAAACCUCAUCUGCAUCAUUGCCAAAACAUUAUUUUCUUGUCUUCUCAUCCCAUCAUAAGUCAUAUUAUUUGUCAUCGAUUUUAUGGUUUGUGUAGUAAUGAGAAAAAAAGACCUUAAGAAAAAGUUUUUAAAUUUGAUUUUUUUAGGUUAUUUGUGGUGAUCGUAGUGGAGGAGAAUUUGAAUAAAGUGAGGGUGAUAAGAAUAAUAUAGAAAAUCAAAAUGAAUUGAAUUUAAUUAUAGAAAAUCUCUUUCAAAAAUAUAAAUUCAACUUAUUUAUCAAUUGAAUUCAAAUUAAAUAUUAUAAUUGACUUUUAAUUACAGUACAAAAUUGACUCCAAGUAACCUAAAUGUCACAAUCACUUGAACUAGAAGCAUAUUGACUCCAAUAAUUAAAUUAGAAAGAUAAAGCAAAGAAAUUAACAUUAACCCUUUCAUAAUGUAAAAACCAAGAACAUGAAAGAUACCUGUAAAUAUUUUUGAGCAGAAACAUCUCCUUCUGUAGAAAUGUUAUCAAGCUUAACCGCUUGUCUCAUUAGCAUCUCAAUUAAUAUCGUGAUUUGAAUUUCUGGAACCUUAACUUUAUUUAAUAUAGAUUUUUCAAUCGCAGAAACCUACAUAUAAGAAAAAUAUAAUUAGGAAUUACUUAAAUAUUAUAAGACAUAAAUAAACAAACUUCUCAAUAAAUGUCUUAUAAAAUUGAGCAAAUCACCCUGCUCUUAUAUUGCCUUUUAUGUUCAAAAUAAAAUAGAAAUUGAAUAAGGAGCUACAAAUCACUAAAAAAAGGUUCUUAAAUGGAUAAGUUAUCUUAUGCACAAUAAAAAAUACCUUAUUAAAAGACUACAAUGUGCAUUUGUAUUUUCAAAUUUUGACAUGAAACCAAGUUUUUGGCAAGUUCAAAUUGAUGAGAAAAAUCAUUAAAAAAAAUAGCUUUUAUAAUCCCUGGACAUCAUGAAUGGAAUGUAAUAUCAUUUGAACUAAAAAACACCUUUUUAAUUUUUUUUUAAAAAUCAUGAAUGAUAUAUAUUCAAUCUAUAUUCAAAAUUCACAAUUGUACACAUAAAUGAUGCCCUUCCUUUUUCAAAAUCAAUCACCAAAGAUUUUAACCAUCCACAAAAGUUUCUCAAUAUUAUAAAAUAAAAUGGAAUUGUUGUUUCAAACUAAAAAUUCAACUUAUAUCAAAUAAAGAUAAGAUUUUUAGGAUGAAACAUUUAUCAAGGAUCAAUAACUAUAAUUAGCAAAGCAAUAGAAUUUUGCGAUAAAUUCCCUAAUAAAUUCAAAGAUAAAACUCAGCUUCAAAGGUUUUUGGGAUGCCUCAAUUAUGUUUCAAAUUCUUUCCCAAUUCUUAGAACUAUAUGCCAAGCCAUACAAAAGACUAAAAAAAAUCCUUGGCUAGAAUUUUUAAAUGAUUGAAGUUGUCAAAACUCUAAAAAAUCAUGUUAGAAAUCUUCUUUGUUUAGGAAUUCCUAAUCCAGGAGCUUCUCUUAUUAUUGAAAUCAAUGCCUAUGAUAUUGAGACUCAGGCAUAUUAUUUUUUUUGCUACAAUUUAAUAAAGCUUCAUAGCAACACUCAUGUUAUCAACUCCAUCUCAAUAAGGAAAAUUUACAUUCUCACUUUCAAAAAUAGAAUUCAAGUUGACCUAGCAUCAUCAAGUUCAAAAUCAAAAUACAAAAAGAAGCUCCAAGAAUUCCUUUCCCAAAUAUCAAGUUCCGAUGAUAAAUAUAUAUCUUCAUCCAUUUACUAGCUAAAAAAACUAACAAUGUCAUCUGUGCCAUCAUCAAUAUCAAAACAUCACCAUUGACAUCAUUAUCCACUAAAAUACAUCUUCAUCAACAUAUCAGGAGUAAUGUCUUAAUCAUAGUUAUUAAACCUGACUCGAGGGUUGACCCGGUCAAGGGGUCGGGUCCCGUUUUAUGGGACAACCCAGGUCAACUAGGGUUAACCCGGAAAAAUUUAAAAAAAAAUUAAAGUUUUAAUAUUUUAUAUGAAAAAUUAAGAAAAAAUCCAUAUAAAUAUAAGCCAUACAUAUUGUAAAUAAUAAAGUUUAAAAGAAUAUUUUAAAAAGUUUUUUAUCCCACAUUAAAAAGAUAUUAUGUCAAACUUUUAAGUUAAAGUAUUUAAACCAAAAAAACCUUUUAUUUCACAUUGAAAAAACAUAUUUUUUUUCUUAGGAACAUAGAGUAUAUAUACUAAUGAGUUUCAAAUCCCACAUUGAAAAAAAACAUAGCUUUUUUAUAACAUAGAGUGUAUAUACUAACGAGUUUUCAAAUCAAAUCAUACAUUAAAAAAAGAUAACUUUUUUUUUGAACUUAAAGUAUAUAUACUAAUGGAUUUCAAAUCUGACAUUGAAAAAAUAUAGUUUUUUUUUAAGAGACAUAGAGUAUAUAUACUAAUGGGUUUCAAAUUUCACAUUGAAGAAAGAUAACUUUUUUCUUGGGAACAUACUAAUGGGUUUCAAAUCCCACAUUGAAGAAAAAUAACUUUUUUUUUGGAACAUAGAGUAUAUAUACUAAUGGGUUUCAAAUUCCACAUUAAAAAGAUAUUAUGUUAUCAUUUUAAGUCGAAGUAUUUGAAUCAAAAUUUUUUUUAUCCCACAUUGAAAAAACAUAACUUUUUUCUUGGGAACAUAGAGUAUAUAUACUAAUGGGUUUCAAAUCCUGCAUUUGAGGAAAAAAAAACAUUGGGUCUGGCCUGGGUCACCCAGGUUUGGCCGGGUCAUUGCAUCGGCUGGUCGUUUGAGAAACCCGGACCGGUCUAGCCCUCAGGUCGACCGAGUCCCGGGUCGACCUGCCGGGCCGAUCCAUGUUUAAUAACUAUGGUCUUAACAAGGAAUCUUUUGCGUCAUCCCUAAAGUUAUUCACUUUAAGAUUUGAUUAUAAAUAGAUGCAUCUUGUAAUGCAAAAGCAUAGUGAAUCCCAACCGAGUAUUAUCUUUGUUGUGCCCACUUCGCUCAUAUUGUAAUAUUUUUCAUAAAUAAAAGUUCAUGUUUUAUAAGCUUAAUUUUUAUGUUUUUAUCUGAUGUUAUUAACUUCAAGUUUUCAUCUAGACCAUAAAUGGAUCAAGUUUAUAGAGUAGUAGAAGAAAAGCACUUUGAGCUUUUCUUCAUACGCGCGCAUGUGUGGAACUUAUAACUUGACUUAUAAGUCUAGGAUAUAGUAUUGAUUUUUAUUAGUGAAUUCUUAUGCAUCAAAACUUGAUAUUCAAUAAAGGACUUCUAAAAGCUUCUUUUUAUAUUUUGAUUUUUUACUGGAUGAUGUCAGGUUGGCUUGAAUUCUACUUUUGAACGUGAGAAAUGUAAAUUGUGUUUUUAUAUAUAUGAAGUUAAUGGAGAUAAGUUGUAAAUUGUGUUUUUAUAUAUAUGAAGUUAAUGGAGAUAAGUUUUGUUAUAGAGCUUGAUGAAAUUGUAGCCGGUAAAGAACAUGCUUAAGUAUAUUUGAAUUGAGGCUACCAUUUGACUUUAAUAUCCUUACGAGAUAUGGAGAAUAAUCAAUAUCUUCAUCAUGUAUUAUUAUGAAAAUCCAAUAUAAAAUACAUGAGAAACCAAAGGUAAAAAUAAAAUGCAAAGAGGCAGAAAUUGAAUUUGAAGGUUUUUUUUUCUAAGAACAAUUUCAAACCUUCUGCUAUUUUUUAAGGAAAAACUUCAUUUAUAAGAGAAAAUAUUGACACCAAUGAUUUGAAAACCAAGCUGAAAUUUUGUUUGAACAAUUUAAAUUAAAAUAGAUAAACCAAUAAUGAUCAUAGUUUUUUAGGGAAAAAACACCAAGCUUGUUAAUAAUCAAAGUAAUUAAGUCAUAAGGGUUAGUAGUUUAGAGAAAAUCUUUUAAAGGUGUAAAACCCUAGAUUCCAGUCCUGAAAGGUUAAAAUUUAAAUUUAUGAUUUUUAAAAAAAUGGUUUAUAAUGGAUUAUUUAAAUCUUGAUUGUGGGUUAUUUUAAUAGAAUUUGUGUCAACCGAGAUAAAUUCAUAGAAUUGUCUUGUUUUUUUUCAAACUUUCUAGAAAAAAAUAAAAUUAAAGGGAAAGAUAUGAAGAACGAUCUUGCUUGGGUUUUCAUUGUAAAAUUCCUUAUCAAUUGGACAAAUGUAAAGAUAAUGAUUUCUGACUUGUAAAGGUCAAUGGGAUUUUUUUGAUAUGAUAUAUAAAGUAAUGACGAAGAUGUUGAAGGUACUCUUUGAUACUAAAUGGACGAAGGUGUUUAAAGAGCUUCAAAAUAAUUUUUAAGUUAAGUGUUUGAACCAUAUGAUACCGAAAGUAUAAAAAAAUGAUUGUUUAAGGCAAAUAUUAGCCCCACUACAUAAGAUCUUACGUUAAGAUUUUUUAAUUACUAGUUUUAGAAUGAAAUGGUCUUGAGGGGAGUAAAAGCAUAUGAUUAUUUUGACUUCUUGAAUGUGAUGCUCAUUUUGAGUCUUAAAAAAAUCUUUGAAUAAAAAGUUUGAAAAGGAGUUUGCUUCUCCUUAUAUGAAUUCAAUUUUAAAAUUAAAAUUUGAUAAAAUAGAUUUUUAACUAACAAAAAUUUACUUUGAAAUAAUAUUUUAAACAUUUUGUUUCCAGUGAUAUAUUAAUAGAUUGACAAUUUAUUCAUAAAAUAAGUUUUUUAAGAAAUAAAUUAUCUUAAAAAGAUGAGAUGCAUGAGACAAUUGAUAAAAUUUUAUAUUUUAUAGUUAAAUAAUUCUUCGAGGACCCGAUUAAAUACCAUAAUGAUAUUGUACUGCUUAUUCUUAACCUUAAAGCUUUUAUUUGAGAAUAACACCAUAACCAAUAUCAGAGGUAUCGGUUUCCACAAUAAGAGAAGCCUUUGGAUCAAGAAUUCCCAAACAAUAAAGACUCUUGACAUGAAUUUUAAGAGUAUUUCAAUAAGAAGCAUUAGUUAGUCCAAAUGGCAUUGGUUUAUGGUUUAUGACAAGUCUUUAUGCUUCUUGUUCAAUUUCUUCUUCAUUUUAAACAUAAAAGGCAACACAUACCAUGAUGAUUUGCUUGGUCUUAUAAGACCUUCAUUGAGAAGUUCGUUGAUAUAUGUUUUACAAUAUUUAGGUAAAUGUUUAUUCAUUUGAAUAGAAAAAUAUGACUUUUUUAGUUUCAAAAAUUGUUAAGUUGGAGCAAACUUCCUUUUUAAAUACUUAUUGAAAUUGUUUUAAUUUUUCUUGAUUUUUAGGGAUUCUAAUAUCUUCUAUUUUUUAUAAUAUAUCUCAUGAUUUAAUGUGCAUUUUUUUUUAACUAUAAAAAUUGAUUUGUUGAUUUAAUUGCUUUGAAAAUUAUUUAUUUCAAUGGGUUUGAGAGAUAAUAUGAAUCCAAAAAUUAUUUCUUGACCAAUUAUUUUGCUUUUGAUUCCUUGACUAUGUGCUUUAAGAGUAUAUAUUUGGGUUAGGAAGGGAGUUUCCAAAAUGAUUUGUUGGGUAUUGUCUCUAACAAAUAUAAAAUUAUUUUUGAAACAAGUUUCUUGAUUACAUAUAUGCAUUUUUGAUCAUUUGUAAUUAAUUUGAAGUUUUUCACCAUUAGGACCACUUUAUGUAUAUGUUUUUUUUCAUAGUAUUUUGUUAGCAUUGGUCCUUUUUUAUGUAAUUUUGAUCUACUCCAUAAUCCACAGGAUCAAUUGUUUAGAUAUAAUGUUCAUUGUUAAUAACUAAGGUUAUUUUCAUAUAUCAUUUUUGUUAUCGUAUUUAUAAUUCUUGAUGUGGGAUUUCUAUAAUUUCAUUCUCUGAGAUAUUAAAGGUAAUUCUUGAUUUAUAUAAUCCUUUUAAGAUGAAAAAUGAUUUUGUUUUUUAGUAACAAUAGCUUUAAUUUUGUUACAAUCAUAUCGAACUUCUCUUAAUUCAUCUUUAAUCUCUCUCAUAUCUUAUUGCAAAUUUAAAUAGUAGUUGGACUUUGUUGUUUUGGAAAUUAUUUCAAGAUUUAUUGAAGGUAGGUUUUUGUUUUUGCAUUUGAAACUAGAUUCCUUAAUUUUAGGAGAAACUCUUUCAAUUUCAGGGUCUUGAAUUUUAUCAAUGAUAUCAAAUAUUAAGUAUUUUUCUUGAAUUAUUACAUUAUCAUUGUAGUAUCCUUUUUUAUAUCAAUUUGUGUUUCAAAGUUAAGAAGGUUGAAGAGUUUAAUUUUUAUUUUAUCUCUAAUUCUUAAAUAUUUUUUUCAUUUUUCAUUUACGUUUAUAAUGUCCUACUUGACCACACCUAUAAAAAGUUUGUUGUUUUGAAGUUGUGGUAUUUUAUUUUUUAUAUGACUUAUUUGACCAUCUUUUUUUAUUUAGAGGUUUUUUAAAAUGCAUUAAUUUUAAUUUUUGCUUCCUAAUCUAUUUUAUAUUUUCCUGAUGGAGGAACAACCAUAUUGAGCACAAAAUGAUCCUAACUCUUUUAUACUUUCAUGAGAUACAAAUUUAGAAGUCCAGAUUAAAAUCUUUCUUUCCAAAAUAGAUGUUGCCAAUCUUUUAUAAUGGAAACAUUUGAAAGAAACAUCUCCUUAUACCAUGUUAAAUCUUGAAGUUUAAGACAUUUAAAUUCGAAGGAUUUCAAAUGAGCUUUCUUGAAAUUAUUAUAGGUUACCAAUAAAUGUUUGGUAAUGGAAAAUAUUAAGAUUGAGAUUGCAUUUUUUUACAAUGACAUGUGUUAAGGUAUUUUUAUUUCUUACUUUGACAUCACUCAAUAUAAGUUUUCUAUCAUUUUAGGUGAAAUAAUGAUCCCACCAUCCUUUUUGUUAGCUAGUAAAUCUUAAGACUAAUGCUUGAUCUAUUUUUUAUCUAUUUGUUUUUAAAUUUGUAUGUUGUGGCAGUCAUGGUCAUGUUUUGAAGUUUAUUUGUGAUAUUAUAUUCACUGUAUCUAUCUAUGUUCCAUUCAUUUAUGUUUUUACCAUCAUAAUGAGCUUGAGUUUGAUAGAGUUGAUAUUCAAUUUAGACAUUAGAAAGUGUUGGUAUGUUAUAAUAAUAUUUGACCUUGGGUUUUUUAUAUUGAUUUUUCUUAGGAUUUCUAAUCUUAUUAAUUACUAAAUAUAAUUGGAACUUCUCGGCAAGAUCUUCAAUCUCACUUUGAGUGUUUUGAUCUUGGUUUAUGACAUAUAUUUAUCUUGAUAAGUUUUUAUUUUUUAUUUUGAAGGGGUUUUUAUAUUUGAUGCUUUGAGUUUUUGAGCAAUCAUUUCAAUAAGAUCAUACAAUAAAGAUAGUUUAAUAAUUUGAUAUCUUACUAUUUGAUGAGGCAUGGAAAGUUGCUUAGAAAUGGUGGAAGAUGAUAGUUAGGUACCUCCUCCCUCGAUAAGGAAGAAGAGACUACAAAGACCUUUAUAUACUACUAUUUUUUGUCUAUGGUAUAUAGAAUUAAAUUGGUAUAGUUGUUUUGUGACCAAAUUAACUUUAUAACUUUUUUAUGAAAUAGGAGUAUUGACAUUUGCAGUGGUUGGUUUAAGGGGUUGCUAUAAUUUUAUUUUAAUGAAAGUUUAUCUUGAUUUUUCCAAGAUAAGAAUGAAUAAGGUUAGUAUAAUUAUUAGUCGUUGCAUGCCAGAUUUGUUUAGAAGUGACUUGAGCAUUUAUUUGUUUUUGUUUAUAUUUAUCUUUUUUUAACCAUGUAAAUAAUAGGAUACAAGAAUGCAUCUCAUUGAGAUUGAUUCUAAGUUUUCAAGAAUUGAUUUCUUAAUUCAAUAUUUUGUAUCGAAUAGAAAUCAUUUCUUAAUUUUUAUUUAUUAAUUUGAAAUUAUGCUUGAAUGACACUUAAUUAAUUUAUGUACUGCUUUCAUUAUAUGUUAGUGACAUAGUUGGACAAUCUAAGUUCUCUUGAUUUUCAAUAAUAUAAGAAAAACUUGUUUCAUCAGUUUGAUAAUAUGAUUUAUGAAUAGUCAUACUAAGAUCCACUCCUUAAGAGCUUGAAGUUUUUGAACCAGAAAGAAUAUUACUUAUUAGUUUUCUAGGACUUCAAUUUGUAAUUUUAAAGGGAUCAUGUUUAGCUAAUUGAAAAAUAAUUUUGACAUUUCUUAAUCGAUUUUCUAUAAUUUGUACCAAAUUAUUUCUAAAUGGUAAUGAUCUUGAAAUACUGACUUGAGAUAAUCUUUAAUUAUCAAGACACAUGAUUUUAUUCCACUAUAAAAGUUUAGGAACCUGGAUAUUUGAAUUUUGAGGGCUAGUUUUGAUAAUGAGACUUUAUAUUUGGGUGAUUUUUGAAGAGCUUUGAAAGCUAUGUUGGUAACUAUAACUUUAUAAUAUAAUGUAUAGAUUAUAUCUAUAUUUCUAGAAUCUAGAGGCAUGUAUGUUGAAGUCUUGAUAUUUAAAUUUAAGAGUUUAUUAUAUUUACAUUGAAUAAUGAAAUAGUGAAACUAGGAUAACAAUUCAAGUAUAUUGGACCAUUGGUAAGAUUUGACUCAAAGAUUAAAAAUAAUAAAUUCAUAAAAGUUCUAAAUCUAUUGUCUCUUAAAUGCAUUAGUAUGAGAGACUUUAAUGUAAGACGAUGAAGUGAUUUGACAACAAUUUAAAGUGGACCUAUGUGGAAAAAAAUUAUAACUUAUUUUAAAUUUAUUUACUUGAUCAGGUUGUAUUUGAUCAAUAAACAAUUUGAACUUGAAGAUUAAUAGAUAAAGCUUGUUCAAUAGUUUCUAUAGAAUAAUUCAUCCAUCUAUCAAAGGUUCGUAUGUGAUAUAUGUUUUUCUUUGACUAUUUAGUUAUGUUUCAAUUUUAAAGAUGUUAUUCAAUUGAGGAAAUUUGAUAUUCUUUCUUGUUGAAAUCCUGGAUACUAUCUUGAUCAAACAAAUAUAGAUGCAUUAAAAAACUACUAUUUAAAGAUCUUGAUCAAGAAGAUAACCCAAAUAAUCUAGACAUAAAUGAAAGGAUUAUAAGGAAGAACAAAACUACAACACGCUGGUAAAAAAAUAAAAUCCAAAGGCAAACUGAUAACAAAUACCAGAAAAAGUAAAUAAUGAUGAAGUUUAGUAAAGAAUACUACUCGAGAACACCAAAAUACCUAACUCCAGAAAACAUGGUGUACCAAUACUACGAAGUAUACUAUGACAAACAUUUUUCAUUACAAACUUUUUAAUUAGGUUGUAAUACCAUUUAUGUGCUAAAUUAUGUUUAUAGAGUAGUUAAAGAAAAUUUUAUAAUGUAUGAUAACAACCUAUUGACUUUAAAAUGGAUUUUAUAUAUAUUAAAAAAGCUUGUAAUGUAGCAAAAACAAAAGAAUUAAUCAAAUGAGUGUAAUUUAAGCUUAAACACUUACCUGCUCUACAAGUUUAUCAACCUCCAUAGACACGUCAAAAAUGGCUCGAUAUGCAGUUUGGAUACGAGCAUUUUUACGCAUCUCAAUGUAUCUUCUCUCAAUGCUUGAUGGAUCCUCCAUCAAUAUGAGUUUCGAUCGAUCUUUGACACCACAUCUAUCUAAGUACUCACAAUUUCCCCUCUCUUUUUCUUUGUAAAUUAUCUUCUGGUCAACUAUUUGUAACCCUGUCUUACCCGUCAAAACCUUCUUUACCUCUCCUGCACCCAAUAUCCAAAAUUAAGUUGACAACUAAUUUUACUUUCUCGUUCCUACCACUUUCAUUAGCUGUGCAUGCCUUAUUAUGGUAAAGAAUUAACAAUAAUCAAAUUGAAUUUGAUUAUUGUUUCAAGACAUAAAAAAUAAAGCUAAUAGGGAUGUGUUUUAUGUUCUUAGCAAGUAUAGAAAUUUACUCUAAAAUAGUUUUAAAGAUAAAUUUAUUUUAUAUUUUUAUUCCUAUCUCUUCAACCAAUAAUGUUUAUGUCUCUUUUAUAUAUGUUUUUUGUGUCUAAAUUAAUUUGACAUGACAUAUAAAAAUGAUUUUUAAUUUUAGACUAUAAUUCAAAAGUUUUUUUAUCUUACAAAUAAACUAUGAUAAGAAUAGUUAAAUAGAAGUAUAUUUUGCAAAAAAUAUCUAAAAUAACCUUUUCAUAUAUAAAACAAGGUAUUAUAAAUUAAAAUAAAUGUUAAAAACAAAAAUUUAAACUUUUGGUAAAUCAAAAUUUUGACAAAACCAUUUGAUUUAUUAAUUAUUUAUUUAAAAAACAUUAUGUUUGGAUUUUUUUUUUGUAAUGUUCAUGUUUUGGGAUUUUUGUCAUACUCUUCAAACUUAAAAUUUACUAGAUUAAUUAAUCAAUGAAUUAAAAUAUAUAUUAUAUCAAUAUAUAUAUAUAAAGUACACUUAAGUAAAUUAUCAAUCAUGGUGUUAGAAUUAGUUUCAUUAGUUUUGAAACGUAGAAAGAAUUAUAAUUAGGUUUUAUUAAGAAUUUAGUAGAUGUUAAAAAUAGGAAGUGAAUUGAAAAAAAAAUGUACAGGUUAAUAUAUUUAAGUGAUUAAAUGUUUUAUAUUAUAUUAGAUUAAUAUGGAUUUUUAAAAAAUAUUUAAGAAAUAACUUAAGUAUAAAUUGAUUUGAAAAUACCAUUAUUAUAGAGAAAAAAACCAUGACUUAGAUUGUGUUUUAUUAAAAACAUUGGAGGAUAAUUAUUAAAAAAGCUUGGAAUAUGAAAUAUUAGAUAUGUUUAGUUGAUGUAUAAAAAUUAUAUGCAAGGAUAGAGUCCAAUAAACUUUAAAUAAAUUGAUUCGAAAAUACCAUUAUUAUAGAGAAAAAAACCAUGACUUAGAUUGUGUUUUAUUAAAAACAUUGGAGGAUAAUUAUUAAAAAAGUUUGGAAUAUGAAAUAUUAGAUCUGUUUAGUUGAUGUAUAAAAAUUAUAUGCAAGGAUAGAGUCCAAUAAACUUUAAAUUAAAAAGAAAAUUAAAUAAAGUUAAUAAAUAAUAUAUACUGUUGAACAAAAGAGAUAAAGGGAGUCGAAUUCCUGAAAUAGUUAAUAAAUAAAUAAAAUAACACAUUCGCACGUUUUUCCAAAAAGCUUAGCCAAAUGGUUCUCCUCACCUUUUUUUUUAAAAUAAUAUUUAAUCCAUUAACAUUUAAAAACUCAUUUAUUUUUGCAUUUUAAAAAACAAUUAAAAUUAUAUCUAUCUUUAUAAAAUAGCUGCAACACAUCGAGCGCGCGCGCGCGCGGGCACUUACCGAACGUCGCCUGAGAGUUGACGGAGAUCUCGUACCGAAGAACACCAUAUAGAACUCGAAGGCGAACAUUUAAAAGAGGAAGAACACCAUCCUUCUCAUUUCUUUUCUGCACCAGCAUGCCUCCUGGUCUCAUCUCCCACUCAAUCUCAUCCUCCUGAUCUCUACACGGCGUUGACAUUGCAGUCGCCGUCGAGCUCGAGCUCAUUUUAGCACACAGAUGCGAUCUUCUCUUCACCAUAUAUAUAUCAUCCUGCGUGAUCUCACCUCAUAUCUUUCAAGCUUUUACCGAGAAAGCAUGAAAGGACUUGUCUCCUUCGUCUUUUAAGAGAUGGAAGAAAUGGGGCACUGCUGGUUUUUAUUUACCGACACUUUCAAUUUAUACAGGGUGGAAUGCCGGGUCGGGGGGGUGUGGUGGUGGCAGUGUGGGUUUUUUAAAGGCUUUUUUUAUUUUAUUUUGGAUUUUUCUUCCCUGAGUAAAACCUGAAAUUAAUACCAUUCAAUUCUUAACUGAGUUCUAAAGCAAAUGCAUCAAUUAGGGGUGUUAUUGGUAUUGCGGUAGUUUUUAUGGUUUUGAUUUAAAAAAAGUUGUUUUAUAAAAAGUAUUUUUAGUUAAGGUUGGUUUGAAAAAAUAGGUGUUUGGUUAAAACUGUGGUUGAAAUUGAGGUUGAAGAAAAAAUAGUUUAAUGUGUUUGGUUAAUAAAAAUGCUUUUCAAAUUGAGGUUAUAAAAUAAUUUAAAAAUAUAUAUAUUUAUAUUAAUGAUUUUUAAUUUAAAUAUUGUAAAUUUAACUACUGUUAUUACAUCAUGAAAUAAAUAAUAUUGAUAUCAAAUAUUUUUUAUUAUUCUAUUACACUAUGUGCAAUGUCAUCACAUGCGAAAUCUAUCCAAUAAGGUCUAUAUUUUUCAUGGUUUUUUAAGCGCGCAACAACAAAAACUGAAUCUUUUGUUACGUCAUCCAGCGAUCUCCUUUUAAUUUUUUAAAUAGAACACAAUUAAAAUAAAAAUAAAAACUGAAUUUCUUUUUAUGUAGUGUUAUUAAAUAAUAUUAAAUACUAGUUUUUCAAGUAAAACACAUUUUUAAAAAAACAUUUACAAUUUUAUUAUGUACAAAAUUCAUUCGACAAGAACUACAAAAAUAAUAAUUUUUUGAGCGUGCAAUAAAAUUAAGUAAAAUAUUAUCAGGAAUAAAAUUGAGAUUACAAUACGAGUAAAUUUAAUUCACCUUAAACUAAUUUUAAAAAAAAUAUAUUGUUCAUGUUCACGUGAACAAUGCGAAUAAAAUCAAUUAAUUGCAUUAAUUUUUCAAGAAAAAAAAAACUAAACUUAUUGCAAUGUUUUUCAAAUUUUUUUUUAAAAAAAAUGUAACAGUGCGAGUGAAUUAAUUCACUCGCACUGUUGCAACAAUGGAGCCAGGCUCCACUGUUCUGCUUUUCUACUCUACGAGAAGCAGCAUUUUGCUGCUUCUCCAAAGCAUGUGGUGCGGCUCAGAAUUUGAUGGGUUCCACUAUCAAAAAGCAAUUUAUUUUGGUUAACCAAACACCUGGUAGUGUGGUUGCGGGUGAGAACCUCACCCGCAACCACACUACCAAACAGCCACUAGAUCACAGAUAUUUUACCGGUGAAUGUUUGGAAUUUUGAUUAUAUCUGUAUUUUUUUAAAAAUAAUUUUUUUAUUAAUAAUUAAUUUUUUAUAUAUUUUAAAUUGUAUUAAUUUACUAAUCUUAAAAAUAAAAAAAUAUUAUUUUAAUACAAAAUAAUUUAAAAAAUAAUAAAAAUUAUAUUUUUAAAUAGCAUGAGGUCUCUCAACUAGUUUCUCUCAUUUGUUUUUGCUAAUUCCUCCUUAAUUUUUCUAUAAAAGAACAUGUUAUUCAACGACAAAGACGGGGUAUUUUGGAAUUGUAAUAUAAAUAAAAAUGGGUUAAAAUUUAAUAAUUUUUUUAUAAUUUUAAAUUAUUAAUAUUUAAAAAAUAAAAAAUAUAUUAUUUUAAUAUAUAUUAAUUAAAAAAACACUAUAAAAAACAAUAUUAUUAAAGUCAAAAACACCAUUUAAUUAAGAUGAACAAUGAGAAAUGGGCGGGUUGAAAUGUUUUUUUUGUAAUUCAAGAAAUAUAAUCUGUUUUGCUUAAAGACAAGAGAAGGAGAAAAGGACAAGAGAGUGAUUGGACCAAUGAGAACGAUAUCACGUGUCGGAGGGGUGACCGUUUGCAUGGAUGACAGCUAAGUAGUAGAUAGUUGCCGACAGUCUAAGCAAAGGAAGCGCCUGGCAAGUCCAAUAAAUUAAGGGGUUUUUUUUAAAAAAAAUAAUAAUAAAAAAAAGAGAUUAAUAAUGAGUGGCAUCUGGGUGACCUGUUAUCGACUGUCACGAUAAGAUUGGGUGGAGAUGGAGAUGUUUGGGGUUUUGCUCAAACAUCGCAUUUGCGGUAGGUUACAUCCUUCGUUAAUUCCCGUUUUGUUGUUCUUAUUAAACUAAGGCUUUCUUUCUUCAUUUUUUUUAAGGUUUUUUUUUUUGUUUUUUCAUUUGAGUUGGAUGGGACUUGGAAUUAGAAUGGCCGUUGGAUUUCUUGCUUUGUUUGGUGAGGAGAUGAAAUGCUAUAAAUCUUAUUUAAAAUAUUGUUAUUUUUUAGCUACACCUCCAUUAUGGGUAUUGAUAUGAGGUACCAAUAACGUUAUUAUUGUGAACUUAAAAAAAAAAAAAAAAGCAUAAACUUAUAAUACACUAAGUUCAUUAGGUUAGAACCCGUUCAAACUAAACGAAUUAUAGUGACAAUGUUGCAUGUGCUUUUUUUUUUAAAAAAAAUAAAAUAAAUAUAAGCAACAAGACAUUAAAGAUUCUUUAUAAUGUCAUUAAAUCUAUCUCCAGUUAAUAACAUUAAAACCUCCUAACUUGAAUCAUUGUUUAGCCCGAGUUUCAAAAUUAAACUGUGUGUAAUUUAUUAUGAAACGACUGAAUUCGCAACUUGAGUCAUGAACAUAAUAAUAUCAUUAACAAUCAAAUUCAUGAUUCAGGUCAUGGAUACAACCGCAAUGUACUUACUUGGUUGGUCAAUUGUUGCUUUCUUUUCCUUUCUCUUAUUCUCUUCUCAAUUAGGUCUUUAUUAGGCUCAGGUAAAAUAAAAUUCAGGACUAAAUGUAAGAGUUACUAGAGAAUUAAAAACCAAAUUGAAUGAAAAUAAACAAAAAAGUGUAAUGUGCAUAGUACACAUGCCAACAUGUGAGAUGAAUAUAACACUGGGAAGGUAUAUUCAAUUUUCUUCGACCUUAUAUGGUAGCUUUUCUUGUUUUCUUUGGAAUUGUCUCGUCAUUGACUUUCUUCGAAGGUAACACAUGGUGAUGGUAGAGCAUCAUUGUGGCUCUACUGGUAUAUUCCUUUUUUUUUUUCUUUUUUUUUCUUUCCUCUUGAUUUUUAAGAUUGUUUCUUUUUUUUCAAAAAAUAGGGUUUCAUUUUUCUCUCUAGAUCAAUUAUAACCCCUUGAUUUUUAGUCCUUUGUAAAAUGAGAAAUAUGAAUUAGUUUUUGUAAAAUCAAGUAUCAGUCCAAAGUUUUUAAGGGGUUAACAACUUGUUAUUUGACCCUCUUAAUUUUUUUAUUUAAAGGCAGCCAACACAUCACCUAUUAUGGCACACUUGUCUACUUCAUAGAAUUCAAGCCCACCGUGGUGACCAAAGAAACGAGUGGUUUUAUUUUACCUAAAAAUCUAUUUCAACUCAUUUUCAUCUAAAAACUUCUUAUACACAACAUUAAAACCAUCUAGAACCAAUUUAUCAAGCCAAAAACCCUAAAAAUGAUCCAUAAAAACAAAAUCAAAUUGAAAACUAUUUUUAUCAAGGUCAAUCUACUUUUUCUAGCAAGAUUAAGGUAAAAAACCAUUGUUUCCGAAUUAUUCUCGAUGAACGGAACCAUUUGACAUCAAGUUUGAUCAUUUUGAUUAUGACAAUUAUAACAACCGAUAACAUUUUCUCUUUAUCAUUGUUUUAUGGUAAGGUUAUUUUUUUUUUUCAAACCAAAAACUAAAAACUAGACAGAAUAAACUUUUGAAUCAAAAUAAGAAAUAUCAUGAAUAUGAAGGGGGUCAUUUGUUUUCUUCGUGUUUUAGUUUUUAAUCUUUUAUCUUUUAAAUUAGUAUUUUUUUUUUACAUAAUUCCAAGCCUAAUUUUAUGUAAUUAGAUUAUAGAAUAAUUAAAUUAAAAGAAAAAAAAAGGAAAGAAAAGAAAAGAGAGAGGCAAUGAAGCGCCAUAACAAAAAUCAUAUCUUUUAGUAUAUUAAGUAAUACCACUUAGCUACAAAUUGAAUAAAAAUAAGUGCCCGUGAUUAUAAUAAAUACUUUAGAUGUGAGGAAAAAAAAUACAAUAACUAAACCAUGAAAAUGACCAACAUCACCAGAGUCUAUAUAUAUAUAUAAUUAAUUAUUUAGUAAUUUGAUUACAUUAUCAUAACCUUGUGGUAUGUUGCCACAUUAUUAUUAUUCUAUGUACCUAUAAAAAUUAUUUAGCUAGGAUUUUUUUAUAAUUUUUAUAACAUUCCUUUUAUAAAUGUGAUUAUUUUUUAAAAUAUUUUAUAAUUUAAAAUAUAUAUUUUUAAAAUAAUUUUAAUAUCAAGUCAUCAAAACAAUUAAAAAACAACAACAAAAAGUUAAAAUUUAAAGAAAUUUGAAACUACGUUACAAACUGAAACUUCGUUAAUAACGCAUCUGCACACAAUCAAAUACUUGUUGAAAUACAACGACUGCUUGAACGCGGGUUUCGGUUCAUCUUGAUGUUUUUUAAAGCAAUCUGCAGCCUAGAAAGCUUCAACUCUGGAGUAAAAUACACGAAAUACACACUAUGUUACAAGUAAAUCCAUGACGUGAUCCACAAAUCAACAAAUGGUCCAAGUUUUAGAAGCUGAAGGUACUACAGGACUUCAUCGAGCAGCAAGAAGCUAGCUACCAACAGGGUAAUAUCAUGCAAACGAUCCGACUCUUGAAACUUGUGAUAAUGCAUCUUCGAAGUGGUCAUCAUCGGCCUUUUCAGAGCUCAAGCUUGGUGGGAUAAAAGACCUGUAGAUGCGUUCCAUGUCAGGAAUUUCCUUCAAUUCACGGCAAGCAACUUCGAGGGCUGUGUCGGAGAAAGAUCGAUAGAAUUUCUUCUGACAGACAAAGGCGAACAGCAAGGAAAGUAUCGGCAGUGGAAUUAGCAUGAGAGUACUGAAGGAGAAUUUCUUCACCCCAAAAUAACCGAACAUUGUAACUUGGUAUAGUAUCAGAGCAGCUAUGACUCUUGUAUGGAUGUGGGGCCACAUCCUGCCAUAGGUCUCAUAGGAUGGAGCAUAUACUUUGAGUGCCUGUUAAAUUUAACCACAUUUGCAAUUAAUAUUGAUUAGCACCAUGAUGAGGAGGAGUACAUGUUUAGCUGCAAUACUGGAAGAGUUAAAUCGCAUGUUUUGUGAAAAUACUAACUUCUAUUUGCCAAAACUUGCAGCACUUGUUCAAAAUAAAAUGAAAAUAUCAAGUGAACACGCUUCGCAGUCAAAAAGAUCGAUCCGAAAUUCAGCAAAUGUUUGUCAUAGCAAUACACAAUAUAUGUUGUUUUAGCUAGCUACAAAAUUUGAAGUGUUAACCCAUCAGAAUGAAUGCAAGCCAUCUCAUGCCAGCACAGGUUUGUGGAAAUAUUGAUUUCUAUUUGCCAGAAUUUGCGACAGUUCAAGGAAUAUGAACAUAGAAAGCACGCAAUGAAUUCUCCGGAAAAAAAACACACACGCACUGCCAGUCAAGCAGACUAACCAUUCCAGAAUUCAAAUAAAACAUUCUAAAAUUUUUAUGAAAGGUGUGAGAUCCUUACCUGAUUCCUAAGGACAAGCCAUCCCAGGCCAAAGUACACCACUCCAAAUGGAAUAAUCAGAGGGGCUAUGACAGAGUAGCAAAGAACAAUUGUGAGAACAAGCAUGUCACCAGGAAUCCUGGUUGCAUACCCUAAAUCUCCAGGAAACCAAGCUUCUUUUAACUCAGCUUCGGUCUUGCAUAGAUACUUCCUCUUUAGAUGAAAAAUGAUUAGAGGAACUAUACGAGACAGCUCGAGUCCAUAGCCAACGAAAAACCUGAGAGCCACAGAAUACUUAAAAGUCGAAAAAUGUAUUCCAAAAAGAAAAAUGAUUACCAGACCAAGUAUCUAGAUCAAAAUAAAUAGAAACAGAAAAGGCAAACACAUUAGCAUACGAAACUCUUUUUCAUGUCCAAGUGGUUUAGCAGAGCACAAGAAGAUCUUGUGGCAAGGGGAGUUUUUUGACAGAAGAACGAAAUAAAACAGCUCUGGCUGUCGCCCAACAUCUUCUGGAGGGGUAGACGACUAAAACCAUAGCUUUCUAAAUGGAAAAGAAUUAUAAGUUAAUAUAGUGAGCUUACUUCAGAGCCACAAAAGUCAGGAAGAAAGUUGCAUUCCCCGGGAGGCUACUCGCAAGCAAACUAACAAUGGAGUUUGGUUCCUUCUCAAUGCUCUUGAACGUGUCGAAUAAGGUGCCACCCAGUGUCACUCCAAUAAAAACGUUCAGUAUGGUAAAAUAGAAAUACUUUCCAGAAAUGGCCCUUACUGCAUGGCCCACUGAAGGAAUUCCCUCAGCCUUUGAGAGAGCCAAAAGUAACUUGGGCAACAGUGCCAAAAACACAAUGAGUGCAAUCUGAGGAAGGUACGCUUCCAGCACCGUCUUAACUGAGACAAUAUUCACAAUUGUCUUUAAAAAUGGGAGAAGUUUCUUCAGAUUAUCCAGGGUUGUUAAUGCGGAAAUGAACCCGAUUGGUAUCAUAUAAAACAAUAUGGUCAGAGCCGCAAUAAAACAAACAACAUACUGCCGGAUUAUCCUUUGAAAGAGCUUAAUUUUAAGAUUAGACCAUAUUAUUUGACGUGGUUCAGGGGCUUCCAUGACAGUCCAGGUGUCAACCAUUUGGGCAUGUAGACUCUGGGCGGCAGAAGCUGCAGUCACCCUAUUGGUGAAGAAGGCAAAAGCACAAGGUUGUUGCUUCUCCCGGAGAGUGACUUUCUGUUCAGCUUCCAGCUUUGGGAUUAGCUCUUUAAUCUUCUCAUUGUAGUGCUCUAUGCUAUCUACCUUUCUACCAACAAUACCAAGGGGGCCAGUUCUGAUGGUUGGUCUCAAUCCUUCUGGUUUGCCUGUUUUUUUGGAUUCAUUGUAUACAGCUUCUGCAUGUGCAUGCUUCUUCUUGUAUCCUUCCAACUCUUUAUAAAUCUUGUUAACCUAGAAGAGUUUUAGAAAAAAGAGGGGCUCAAAAUCAGCAGAGCUCAUACAGUACGCAGCACAACACAGAAAAAGAAAACUCACAAUUGACAUUGGUCAAGGAUCAUAAAUUCCUUGAUAUGGAAUAUAAUAUACGAUAACCUCAAAUAUACUUGAUAUGGAAUCAUUAUAUUACUAGCACGUAAUUCCUUCUUUUUUUCCCUUUUCUUUAUAAUAAAUUCUGAAAGCUCAAAGGAAUUGGAAACUAUAAAACGUGGGUUGGCUCAAAUUACAGAAGCAAUUUAGGAUGUGGAAUCCAGAACAUCAGGGUAAGUGGCAAGAGCAUGGAAAGAAAGAAACUAAUUUAAAAUAAAAAAAAUACCUGUUUGUUGUUUGUCACCACCAUCGAUCUAUAGAAUGUCUCAGGAUAGAUGGAUUUAAAAUAUGAAUCAACCUGUUCCUUUCUAGUUUGGCCCUCAGGGACAUGAGGUAUGUCUCUGACAAGAACAGCGAAUUGCUCUGGUUUCACUUCAGGAGACAUUAGAGCAUUUGCUCUCAUCCCAGAAACAUGCACGUACGCCUUCCAUAAAAAGAAAUAGGUAACAAGAGAAACCCAAUAGGUAGCAAUCAAGAAUGCCCACAGCCUUGGACUCCCCCCCUGCAGACAUAUUUUUCCAUGGAGCAAAACGAAAACGGGAGCAAGUCAGUUCAAGCAAACAAAACAAAGAAAGAGGAGUUGUGGAGGUACCUUGACAUUUCCCAUUAAUAACUUGUCAAUUUCAUUAAAACUUGUGGAGGAGUUUCCUUUAACUUUUUGUAUUUCCACAUUGUCGUCGGUGGCAGCAACAGGCAGAAGUACCGGCAGCAGAACAAGGCCAGACAAAACCAAUAUUGCCAGCGCUGUCAUAUAGAACAAAAAAAAGAGUAAAAAUAAACAACGUGAGGAGAGCAGUUGUCUGAGAAAUAAUACAUGGAAUGGAAGUUAGGGUUGUCCGAAAUCAUGAAGAAAUGUACACAGAUGGAUUUGCUUAAUCCUAUGAUGUAAGGUGCUUGUCAGUAGUUCAAGCACGACUAAUAAGAGUAGUCAUUGUCAAACCCAAUUAUUUUAGAUUUAUACUUUUUUUAGUUGCAUACCACCAUGUAAACAAACUUUGUUCUGAGCAAACUAAAGUAAAUGAAAAAGGAAAUCGGAAAACAGAGAAAAAUGAAAAGGUUACGGUAUCAAGUUUUGGAAGGCAAACAUCCCUUCGCCUCGAGAAAUUAAUUUAAGGGGAAGAAAGAACAGAACUACCACCAAAAAGGGACACAAUUAAAGACUCAAAGCAAGAAAGAAACCCGUAAAAGGUAUGAUUCUAACAACCUGAUAAAUUAGUCACAGCAUUACAAUCGAAGCGAUUCUUUGUAUUAGUUUUUUACAAGAGAGAGAGAGACUCGGAGAAAGAGAGUUUAAUUAAUCAAAUACCAGUGCUCAAGAAGACAAAGUAGACAGCAGCGUCUACACCGGACAUGUUUAUAACGUCCUGCUCGCUGGAAGAGAGGGCUUCCCGGAUCCAAGCAUAAGGGUUGCGGGAUCUUGACCCGCCCUCCCAGGGAUCCAGACCUUUCAAGAUCCGGUUGGGGUAAUACACGAAGGAGUUUCCAGGCUUCCUCGACAGCCAUGUAAACAGAAGCAUUAACACCACGAAAACAAAAAACGACGUCCCUAAAGACGUCAAGAAAGAUGUGAAAUCCAUCACUCGCUCAGAACAGAAUUAUUGUGAAAUGGGAAUUAUAAGGGCAAGGAAAGGAAAAGUAGCAGUGAAGAUGAGGGCAAUGAAAGCAGGUCACCGUUGAGGGAGGAAAUGGGGAAUGUAUUUAUGCUAGAGCAUUGAUUGGUGUGUGGUUCAAAUGCAAAAGAUGAGAGAAUACAAAAUGUCUGCCACAAGAAGAAGGCUUUCGAGCUGUUUGGUUCUGUGGGGUUUCGCGCUUUUGUUCAUGUUUAUUCGUCAUCAUCGUCGCAGUGCUUUCAUUUUCAGAGUCCUCGUAAGUAAAAUGAGUGUCUGUGUGUGAAAAGAAAGCGGGGACGGCAUCAACCGAGCGCGUUUCGAGUUUAAAUAAGCAAUUGAUUGUAAAAAAUAAUUGUGAAUCAUAAAAAUUAAAAAUAAAACAUUUAAGUAUGAAUUUUUAGUUAUAAUAGAAAUUACCUAUGAAAGAAAAACAAGUAAAUAAAAGUAAAUAAUUGGUGUAUAUUAGUAAUAUGAUGUUACCUAAAGGUUAGUCAAUGAAUCUAAAUGAAUUCUAUCAACUUUAAUAUUAAAUUACAUCAAAAAUUAGAAUAAUUACUUUGAAUUAUCAAAGAAAUAUGGAUUAAGGAAAAGAUUGUAAAUUUAAUAAUAAUAAAAAAUUAGCCCCUGCUUUAUACUUAAAAGGUUUUCGGCCAAUGGAUGGAAGAAAGUAGAAGCUUUCUUCUUCUCUUUUUAUUGCUUUUUAUUUCUCAUUGCUUAUGAAAAACUAGGUUUUAGGGUUUGAUACAUGGGACUAUGAGAGCUUAAACACUUGUAAAUACAAGAGAAUGAAGUGAGAGAAAAGUAGGGUUUAAAAAGAGAAAGUAAGGAAAUUACAGCAUUUUUAAAAAUGCCCUGUCCACGUCAACGUGAUCUUUUUAGAUAAUGUUUUCUGCAUCCUAGCUCUCAGCUUCAUAAUUUUCAACUAUGUUGACGUGUGUUUGUCUCCACUAUUUUGAUGCUUGAUGUGAUAGAAAUAAAAAUAAAUUAAGAAGUCAAAAAAUAUUAUUUUUAAUAUAUUUUUAAAUAAAAAAAUAUUUUUAAAAAUAAUCAUCAAUAUAAUAUUAAACAUAAACUAGAGGUGAUUAUUUUUUAUUCGGUUUAGUUUUUAUAUAAAAAAUAACCAAACCAAAGUUUUUUUAAAAAAAAUCAAAACCGGUUCAAACAGACUGGUUUCAGUUCCGUUUAGUUUUUUAAACAAAAAUUGGUUCAAAUCGAUUUCACUCGGUUUUUUUCGGUUUUGCCUCGGUUAUUUCCGGUUUGGCUUGAUUUUUUGGUUUUGCUCGGGUUUUUUCCGGUUUGGGUUCGGUUCGGUUUGGUUUUUUCGAUUUCAGACUUAUAAAACCAAAAUCAAACCGAACCGAAAAAAAACCGAGCCAUGAAUAAAAUAAUAAAUACUUUAGAUAUGAGGGGAAAAAUACAGUAACUAAACCAUGAAAAUGACCAACAUCAACAUAGUCUAUAUAUAUACCAGAUGCCAUGUCCGCGUGAUGUUGCGAGCUUAUAGCAUGCUUGUGCGUUGUUGUGCAUUUGUGAAAAAAAUCAUAAAAAAAUUUAAAAAACUAUAUGGAGAAAAAUUGUUGCAAUCCAUAAUAUUUUGAAGAAAAAAACUACAAAGUUAAAUUCUCAACUAACUUACUUUUUAAAAAAUAAAAUCGACAAAGAUAAUUCAGAAAAAAAUCAUAACAAAAAAAAACAAUGUAGGGAAACAUUAUAGCAAUCUGUAAUGUUUCAUGAGGAAAUCUAUAGUUUUAAUUCUUAACCAGCUCAAUAUUAAAAAAAAUAAAAUCGAUAAAGAUAAUUUAAAAAAAAUCUUAACAAAAAAAUCAUAUGAAGGAACACUGUAGCAAUCAACAGUGUUUUAAAAAAAAAAACUAAGAUGCUAAAUUCUCAACUAGCUUAAUAUGAAAAAAAAUAAAAUCAACAAAAGACAAUUAUGGAAAAAAAUCAUAAAAAAAGAAAAAAAAACCAUGUGUGAAAACACCGUAGUAAUCCAUAAUGUUUUAAAGAAAAAAACUAUAAAGCUAAAUUCUCAACUAGCUCAAUAUUAAAAAAAAAUCGACAAAGAUAAUUUUUUAAAAAAAAAACAUGCGGGAACACACUAUAGCAAAACAAAAACCAUGUCGGGAAAUAUUUUAGCAAUCCACAAUGGUUUUUUAAAAAAAUACAACACAAAAUUCUUAACUAGCUCAAUAUAUAAAAAAACUACCAAAUAUCAUUUUGAAAAAAAAAACAAAGAAAAAAAAUUCAUAAAAAGAAAAAAAAAUCAUGUGGUGAAACAUUAUAGCAAUCUAUAAUAUUUUAAAGAAAAAAACUUCAAAACUAAAUCCUCAAUCAAUUCAAUAUUAAAAAAAAAUCAAUAAAAUAACUUUGAAAAAAACACAAAAACAAAAAGAAUAAUAAUAAAAAAUGACCAUCUUUGGAAAAAAAGAAAAGAAAAAAAACAUUUAAAUCCCAAAAAAAAAAGGGAAAAAAUGAAAAAAAAUGGGGAAAUGCAUACAUACAUACAUACAUACAUACAUACAUAUAUAUAUAUAUAUAUAGUUUUUUAGAGUCAAAUAAUUCUAAAAGGUAAAAUCUUUGUCUUACAACCUCCUUUCCUAACUGAUUUAAAAAAAAAAAAAAAAGUCGAAGAGUUUUAUACUUUUGUUUUUGGAUCAUUAAAUGAACAUAAUUGUUGGAAUCACGCGAACUUAAUUAAAAAGGAAAGGGCAAGCAGAAAAUUUAUUUCUUUUAAAAUUCAAUCAAUCAUAAUUUUUUUAAAUAGUAAUUAUGACUUAGUAAUCCAAAGCUUGCUAGGUUAGAUCUCUUUUCAAAAUCAUACAAUUAUGGUAAAACUAGACACAUAUCCUCGCGUAGUGAAGUAUACAAUUUCAAUUAUUCAUAUAAAAUUAACUAUUUAGUAUUUGAUUAUAUUGUCAUAAUCUUGUGGUAUGUUAUCCCUUGUAUUGUUAUUAUUCUAUUUAAUAGUAAUAAAUCUUGUACCUAUACAAAAAUAUUUAACUAAUAUUUUUUAUAACAAAAUAUAAUUAUUUUUUAAAAUAUUUCUCAUUUUGUUAAAAUAAUAAUUUUUUUAAAAAUAUAUUUUUAACACUAAACACCAAAACAAUUCAAAAACGACCACAAAAAGUUAAAAUUUAAAGAAAUUUAAAACUACGUUACAAACUGAAACUUGGUUAAUAAUGCAUCUGCACAUGAUACAAUAACUAAACCAUGAAAAUGACCAACAUCACCACAGUCUAUAUAUAUAUAUAUAUAUAUAAAUUUAAUUAUUUAGUAAUUUGAUUACAUUAUCAUAACCUUUUGGUAUGUUGCCACAUUGUUAUUAUUCUAUGUACCUAUAAAAAAUAGAGUUUUUAUAAUUUUUAAAACAUUCCUUUGAUUAUUUUUUAAAAUAUUAUUUAAUUUAAAAUUUAUUAAAAUAUUAUUUAAAAAAUAAUUUUAAUAUCAACUCAUCAAAACAAUUCAAAAAUAAUAAAAACAAUAACAUUUAAAAGAAAUUUGAAACUACGUUACAAACAAACUGAAACUUGGUUAAUAAUGCAUCUGCACACAAUCAAAUACUUGUUGAAAUACAACGACCGCCUGAACGCGGGUUUCGGUUCAUCUUGAUGUUUUUUAAAGCAAUCUGCAACCUAGAAAGCUUCAACUCUCGAGUAAAAUACACGAAAUACACAAUAUGUUUACAAGUAAAUCCAUGACGUGAUCCACAAAUCUAACAAAUGGUCCAAGUUUUAGAAGCUAAAGGUACUACAGGACUUCAUCGAGCAACAAGAAGCUAGCUACCAACAGGGUAAUAUCAUGCAAACGAUCCGACUCUUGAAACUUGUGAUAAUGCAUCUUCGAAGUGGUCAUCAUCGGCCUUUUCAGAGCUCAAGCUUGGUGGGAUAAAAGACCUGUAGAUGCGUUCCAUGUCAGGAAUUUCCUUCAAUUCACGGCAAGCAACUUCGAGGGCUGUGUCGGCGAAAGAUCUAUAGAAUUUCUUCUGACAGACAAAGGCGAACAGCAAGGAAAGUAUCGGCAGUGGAAUUAGCAAGAGAGUACUGAAGGAGAAUUUCUUCACCCCAAAAUAACCGAACAUUGUAACUUGGUAUAGUAUCAGAGCAGCUAUGACUCUUGUAUGGAUGUGGGGCCACAUCCUGCCAUAGGUCUCAUAGGAUGGAGCAUAUACUUUGAGUGCCUGUUAAAUUUAACCACAUUUGCAAUUAAUAUUGAACAUGUUUAGCUGCAAAACUGGUCGCAUGUUUUGUGAAAAUACGAACUUCUAUUUGCCAAAACUUGCAGCACUUCAAAAUAAAAUGAAAAUAUCAAAGUGAACACAACAGAUAGAUCCGAAAUUCAGCAAAUGUUUGUCAUAGCAAUACACAAUACAUGUUGUUUUAGCUAGCUACAAAAUUUGAAGUGUUAACCCAUCAGAAUGAAUCCAAGCCAUCUCAUGCCAGCACAGGUUUGUGGAAAUAUUGAUUUCUAUUUGCCAGAAUUUGCAACAGUUCAAGGAAUAUGAACAUAGAAAGCACGCAAUGAAUUCUCCGAAAAAACACACACACACACACUGCUAGUCAAACAGAGUAACCAUUCCAAAAUUCAAACAAAACAUUCUAAGAUUUUUAUGAAUGGUGUGAGAUCCUUACCUGGUUCCUAAGGACAAGCCAUCCCAGGCCAAAGUACACCACUCCAAAUGGAAUAAUCAGAGGGGCUAUGACAGAGUAGCAAAGAACAAUUGUGAGAACAAGCAUGUCACCAGGAAUCCGGGUUGCAUAUCCGAAAUCUUUAGGAAACCAAGCUUCUUUUAACUCAGCUUCGGUCUUGCAUAGAUACUUCUUCUUUAGAUGAAAAAUGAUUAGAGGAACUAUACGAGACAGCUCGAGUCCAUAGCCAACGAAAAACCUGAGAGCCACAGAAUACUUAAAAGUCAAAAAAUGCAUUCCAAAAAGAAAAAUGAUUACCAGACCAAGUAUCUAGAUCAAAAUAAAUAGAAACAGAAAAGGCAAACACAUUAGCAUAAGAAACUCCUUUUCAUGUCCAAGUGGUUUAGCAGAGCACAAGAAGAUCUUGUAGCAAGGGGAGUUCUUUGACAGAAGAACGAAAUAAAACAGCUCUGGCUGUCGCGCAACAUCUUCUGGAGGGGUAGACGACUAAAACCAUAGCUUUCUAAAAGGAAAAGAAUUAUAAGUUAAUAUAGUGAGCUUACUUCAGAGCCACAAAAGUCAGGAAGAAAGUUGCAUUCCCCGGGAGGCUACUCGCAAGCAAACUAACAAUGGAGUUUGGUUUCGCCUCAAUGCUCUUGAACGUGCUGAAUAAGGUGCCACCCAGUGUCACUCCAAUAAAGACGUUCAGUAUGGUAAAAUAGAAAUAUUUUCCAGAAGUGGCCCUUACUGCAUGGCCCACUGAAGGAAUUCCCUCAGCCUUUGAGAGAGCCAAAAGUAACUUGGGCAACAGUGCCAAAAACACAAUGAGUGCAAUCUGAGGAAGGUACGCUUCCAGCACCGUCUUAACUGAGACAAUAUUCACAAUUGGCUUUAAAAAUGGGAGAAGUUUCUUCAGAUUAUCCAGGGUUGUUAAUGCGGAAAUGAACCCGAUUGGUAUCAUAUAAAACAAUAUGGUCAGAGCCACAAUAAAAC